GAGCGUGGAGAAUAAGAAGUGCCUUGGUGUGCUGUCAGGGCACACUGGAAGUGUCAAGUCAUUGUCAUGCCAUUCUUCAAAUCCUGGUCAGUUGUAUAUCUUGAACUUGGUUAACUUAGUUUGUGGCAUGUCUGCAUAGGUUCAUGAACUCCAUUGUUAUUGUCUAUGCAGAUCUUAUUGUUUCCGGUUCAAGAGAUGGUUCUUUUGCACUUUGGGAUCUAAGAUGUGAUCCCAAAACCCCAAAUGGCCAUGGUGAAGCAUGCCUCAUGUAUGUCAUCUAAUGGCUACUGUAAUCUAAAUGCUCCUUUUUAACUGCAACCAUCAAUUUCUGUAGCAAUGUAGCAUCUUUCGCUGAAUUCAGCUGUUUUUACAUGUUAGGUCUUCUGCUGUUGUCAAAGAAGCGCACAGUCCCACGCGAAGGAAUCGGACAAGGGCUCGAGCAAAGGUAUUGAAUUUGCAUAGAAUCUUUUUGGCUGGGGACUGUACAUUUCCGUAGGUUCAGUUGCUGAUAUUGGUCAUCUUUAGGGAGCUUCAACAAGCAUCACAUCAGUUCUGUAUCUGAAAGACGAUAUCUCCAUUGCUACUUCUGGUGCUGCAGACAAGUAAGGCGUUGGCCCAUCCUAUUUAUUCUGCACUUACUACAUAAGUUAAUAUAGUUUACAUGGCUAAUUAUGCAUGCCAGUGGCAUGUUUCAAUUAUGAACGCACCACUUUUAAUACAAUGCACCUCUGCUGUAGUUUGAUUUUAUCUAACUCUUAAAAUGUAUUCCAGCGUUGUGAAAUUUUGGGAUACACGGAACCUUAAAGCGCCCAUCUCCAACAAAACCUCUCAAUCAACAGCACAACCUUCGGUAAGCAAGCAGCUUGCAAAUUGCAACAGAAUGCAUUUGUAAUUCAGUUUCAAGGCUAACAGGGAAUCCUUUCAUUCAGAAGGAGGGGGUGACACAUGGGAUCUCUUGCUUGUCUCAAGACUCGUAUGGUGCGUAUAUUGCUGCGUCAUGCAUGGAUCACAGGUGAGAAUAAUAUUUGACCACUACACAGAACUGCAAAAAACUGAUGUCACUGGAGGGAAUUGCUUCUGACUUCAUAAGCUUUCCAAUUUCAGGAUCUAUCUGUAUAGUACUCUCCACAUGGACAAGGGUCCAAUAAAGACUUACACUGGCAGCAAAAUUGAGUCUUUCUUUGUCAAGGUGAGUAGCUAACUGGUUUAGCCUUCUCUUCCAGCUGCAUAUUCUUAGUUUCUUUCAUGUGUUUUAUUUAACACCUGCUUUGGUGCUUGAAUACAGUCUGCUAUUAGUCCUGAUGGGACUCAUAUUUUAGGUGGUUCGAGCAAUGGCAAUGUUUACUUGUGGCAGGUAUUUGUUGCAUUCCUAUUACCUUUUCUUUUACAUUUCAUACACUGUAUUCAUGUUAAAUUGCUAAUUCCUUCUCACUUAUGUAGGUGGAUCAGCCUGAAAAUGGGCCUAUAGUUCUGAAAGGCCAUGAGGGUGAAGUCACUUCAGUUGACUGGUAUGAUCUAUCCAGAAUGGCUACUUCUUAAUGUCUUACUGUUACCAUAGUGCUCAUGUUGCAAUGCCAAUUUUGCAAUUUCAGGUGCUCUUUGGAGGUUGGAAAGAUAGUAUCAUCAUCUGAUGAUUCCACGGUGAGUCUUGUUAAAAGUUUACAAGUUUCAUCUUAAAGUUGCCUUGUCAAACACUACAACAAAAUGAACCCAGUCAUCUCACCAUGAUUAGGGGCAUCUAUAAUAUUUGUUGUCAUCUAAUCUACAAAUGGAAAGAACAAGAGUUUGGUUAGGAACUUGAAAACUGCUACUGACAGCCUGACACUUUGUUCUGUGCAUCAGGUUCGUGUAUGGAACACCAAGAAAAUAGACUGCACCAACAUUAGUUCCCCAACAGUCAUCCGUAAGAGGGUAACUGCUCCAAACAUCGACUGCCCAAGAUCGGCUAGCCAUGAGCGAGCGACUAGUUCAAGAGAUGUAGCAGCCUGCACCAGUGCUGACAGUGAAUUGCCAACCAGUUCACACUCACCCCUCCGGCCAAGAGUACUGGAGUUUGGCACGCCUGAGUCUGCGAAAAAGAGAGCCUUUUCGGUAUUUCGGGAGGAGGCCUUGGAUACUAGGAACAGCCCAGGAGCUCAAAUGAGCAGUCCCUCUUCAGUCCUGAACCCACCGCCUUCGCUGAAAAGGAAAACUAUCCGGGACUACUUUGGCAGCAGCACAUCUUGAAGUCAAAACUUUCUGACAAAUAAGACAGUAUCAUGGAUUCUUCUGAGCUGCCCUGAGGAGCUUUCUUAACUUAUGGUGAGAAUCUUGUUUUUCUGCAAGAACUUACUCUGCUGCUAAUUGACAGUUCGGCAUGCUAACUCAUUACUCUCAUUUUUCUUCUACGCAGGCCAAGCUUGUUCAGCGGUUACGGGACCUGCAACUUUUGGAAAAUCCCUGUCUUGCUGAUCUGGUCAUAUGCUGAUGAUUGAUCUGAUGAAGUGCCGUUGUACAUGAUAUAUAUUGUUAAAACCAUCUGCCUUUUCUCUUUGUAUUUUAUUUCCUCAUUGAGCUUGUUAGGUUGUGACUUGAGGAAAUCUUGUUAUUAGUAACAAAAUUAAAGAGAUCUCUGUGAGAUUUCCCUAGUGCAUUGUUAGUAAUUAAAGAAUGAUCUAGUAAAAAUCAAUGUUGACAAUUAUCUCUUUGAACAUGAGAGUAAAGGAAUUUGGACUUGUGGUUGGUUCCUGGCUAUAACGCCUUCCAUGAGUUCUGUGCUGUGCAUAGCAAUGUCAUAUAUUGUUUGCCUUUAGGCUGGCCAAUGUUGGUCAGCUUAUAAAAUGAUCCAUGGGCCAUGGUCAAUAAUGGAGAUUAUUUUGGCAUGGCUGGAAUUAUUAAGAAAUAUAUUUUUACUUGUUUGAAUUAAAUGCAUGAAACCUGCAAUCUUUUAAUGCCUCUGGAGCUUGCAAAAGAACAUAUCAAUCUGGACUUAUGGUCAAUAGUUGAAACUAUCUGGACACUUUGACCUGCCCUUACCAUCAACAAGCUUUGCUCAAAAUAUCUUAGAAAUUAGAGGAAGUACUUCACUGCUAAUAGCUACUAGCUUAAUGCACAUAUUUUUCUCAGGGAUCACAAUCAUAUUGUUUGAACAUAGGCCUGAUUUGGUUAUGCAUCUUUCCAUGCCUGACCAAGCUUUGACCUAGCCCAUGCCGCUCCUAUGGUCACUACAUUUUUGGUACACAGAGUUUGUUCAUGCUUCCAGUCAAAUGCCCAUGUCACAUCAACAUCCCUUGUAUUACUACCUAAUAACCAAAUUUUCAUACUUCAUUUAUACGUAAACAUAUUUAGUUUAGAAAACAUAGUUGCAAGAAAGCUCUAGCUAUAUUUCUUUAGCAAGAGCAUGCCAUAUUCAUUGUGCUGUUUAAAGACACGCUCCUAAUUACGAUGAAGUCUGAAAAAUACUACAACACAAUCCAAUCUGUGUUAGAGUUGUGUCGAAUAUUGUGUACAAGGUAGGUUACAGUUGAACUAAGAGUUGUAUUGUGUUUACAUAGGAUGUGGAGUUGUGUCCUAAUAGGACAGUUGUAUCCUAGGCCUCUCAUAUAUAGCGGGGGUAGACACAGGAUGUAACCUAUGCCAACAUAAUAGCAUAGGCACGCAAGGGGGAGCCGGCGCGUGUGCCGGCGCCCGGGUGGCCGGGUGCGGUUUUGUGACGGUGUCACGGGAAGGAGCGUCCGUAGUCAGGCCCCGGGGAUGUAGUCAUAUCGGUGAACCUCGUUAACAAAUCUCGGUGUCGUGCUCGUGUGAUUGCUUGGUCCUCGGAUGAUCGAUGAAGUGCCUUGGAUUUAAUUCUAACAAGUGGUAUCAGAGCAGCAAUCGGACGUGAGCACACCAGCAAGAAAUCUGCUACAUUCUAACAAUCUGAAUAAAGAAGAAAGCACACCAGCAAGAAAUCUGCUACGCCCUAAAGGGAUCAAAAGCUGUUUCAUGGGUGACACAAGUUUUCUAUGAGGGUGACACCGCAACAAGAUUUAGCAUAGCGAUUUUGAAUUUUGGACCCCGGUUGGAAGGGAAUCGAGGGAGACAAUAAGGGUGUACAACGACACGUAAGAGGUUGGGGAUCGUGAGCCUGCUGUGCUCCUUGGUAGCUGGCUUGAAGCCUUGUGCUCGUGUUUAUAUAACCACUCUCUCACUUGGAAUAUUAUAGGGGGGAGAGACAUCCCAUAGAGCCAUACAAACUCGAAGUUUUAGGUGAGUUUGAGGGAUCUCAAAAGGCUACAACAAUGCCGAGAGUAAGGGAGCUUCGAGGUGUCUUUAUCUUUGACUUGAACCGGUAGUCGAGCACUUAUCUCGUCAAAAGAAGGGGAUUCUCUAGGCAGCCUUCUCUUUGAUCCAAGCCACUAAUCAAGAUGCUUUUCUCGUUGCUUCUCCUAACAUAAGAGUAGGUCAUGCUCCACAAUGCAACUGGAUUUAUUUAAGAAACAUCUAUAUGUCAAGAUACCCUCUAAUUUCACACCAUAAAUACUUAUCUAAGAUACCCGAAUAUGCACUUUGGACCUUAGGCUCCACCGAGCCCUUUUCCUUUUCUUUGAAAAACCACCCCAUAUAUUAAUUAAGAAAAUAUCAUACUAUCGUUCAUUACAUAAUUUGUCAAGCGGGAGGGAACACUCCCAACUUAUAACCCAUCAGUCUAGAGUUUAAACAAAAAAUUGCAAGUUUCAUGAGAAACUCUGUUGUCGUCCUAUGUCUCCUAUUUAAUCUUCACAUAUCCUGCUUUUCUUUUGGGGAAAUAAUCAAAAUACAUUUUAGAAGUUUCAAUUUUUUGUUGGAAAAAAACGUCCCACAUGGUUAUAGAGAUGUAUUCUACAUAUGUGUAAUAUUUUGUUUGUAAAUAAUUUAACACGUGAUUUAGAAAAAUACAUAGUUUUGGAAAGAACAAAUAAAACAUCUCUUCAUAAAAAGCGAUGAAAGUAAAAUUUCAGAAUAUAAAAGAAUAUUUUUUUUCAUUUUUUAUAGCUCACACUUUUUUUUGUAAAAAGAUCUCCAUUCUAUUAAUAAUAUGUAAAAACAAUACAAAAUUCUCAAAGGUAAAAACAAAAUACAACUAGGUACACGAACCAACUAGCGACAACAACAAUCACUAGAGCAAGCCGAAUGUGCGCCAUCUCAUAGCCUUGCUUCGUGAUAUCUCCAGCUAGUAUGGUGCCUACAAGAUGCAUAUAAAUUGGGCCCGAAACACAAGGGCUUUGUAGUACAUGACAAGUUUCCCUCAGUUGAGAACCAAAGUAUCAAUCAGUGAUUUUUUGCAACACCAAUGAUCACCAUAUGCACUCAACUAAAAACCUUCUAUUGGUCUCCAACUUAGAGCAUCUCCAGCCGCGCCCCCAACAAGUCCCCCAGACAACUUUUUCCGUGUCGGCGCCGAAAAAACGCCCCAGUCGCGCCCCCAAGAUGCCGAAAUCCGCCAGUUCGGCCCGUUUUUGGGCCGAACCCGGCGCACUAGGGGGGGAGGCGCUCGGGGGCUCCGGCGCAAGUGAAAAGCACGCCUGGCCCACACUGUCAGGCGAAAAGUCAAGCCUAUCGUCCAGAUUCGCCUCUCACCCCCCGCGCGCUCGGCCCCCAACCGACUGAUCCCGGCGCCGCCCACUGCCCACCACCGCUAGAUAGCCCAUUUCCCGCCAGAAAAAGAGUAGAGGUUUUGCCAAGGCGGCCUCUCCACCAUCGGUUGGGCGAGUUUUUUGGUGUUUCGGCCACAGAGGGGCAGUGUAGCGGCGGGUGCGCGCCCAUCGCGCCCACAAGGUGUUCGGCGAUUUGCGUGCCUCGGCAAUGGACUCGGACGACGAGGAGGCGCUCACCAUGCUACUGGAGGAGGAAGCCGAGGCCGACGUCUAGGAAGAGGAACAUCUCAUGGUCCUCGCCACCCUCGUCGGCCUGCUGGCGAGCAAUGAAAAGCCGCGGCGAGGUGGCUCGGCGUCGGGGUGGAUUAAAGCAAAGAACCGGCAUCGUCUUGAAGGCUACUGCAUGCUCUACUCUGACUACUUCGCCGACGCUCCACUGCAUGGUGACAAAGUAUUUCGGCGCCGUUAUCGGAUGAGCCGAAAGCUUUUCCUCAGGAUUGUGAAUUCCAUCUGGGAGUUCGACAGCUACUUCAAGUGCAAGAAGGAUUGCACCGGCAAACUUCGAUUCACCUCAAUCCAAAAGUGCACGACAGCGAUGAGGAUGCUUGCAUACGGAGCUCCCGGUGAUUCACUCGACGACUAUGGGCGCAUGGCCGAGUCCACCACCAUUGAGUGUUUCUGCAAGUUCUGUCGGGCAGUGGCGGCAGUGUUUGGACCGCAAUACUUGUGAACACCCAAUGCGGAAGACAUUGCUCGGAUCCUAGCACAGAAUGCAGCAAGAGGAUUUCCUGGGAUGCUUGGAAGCAUUGACACAUGCAUUGGAAAUGGAAGAAUUGCCCAUUUGCUUGGCAGGGGAUGUAUAAAGGCGCCAAAGGCGGUUGCUGUGUAAUACUUGAGGCGGUGGCCACACAAGACCUCUGGAUUUGGCACUCCUUCUUUGGUAUGCCAGGAACUCACAAUGACAUCAACGUGCUGCAGUGCUCCCCUGUCUUUGCCAAGCUUGUUGAAGGCCAUUCUCCUCCGGUGAACUUCGAGGUCAAUGGACGGCACUACAACAAGGGGUACUACCUAACUGAUGGCAUGCAUCCGAGAUGGUCUACAUUUGUGAAGCCUAUUUCAAAUGAUGUGCCAGGAGGCAAGAAGUCCCACUUAGCCCAGGUGCUGGAGGCUUGCAGAAAGGAUGUCGAGCGGGCAUUUGGUGUGCUCCAAUCUUGAUUUAUUGUUGUCCGAUACCCUGCUCAGACCUAGUCGAAAGAUCAAAUGUGGGAGAUCAUGACUUGCUGUGUCAUCUUGCACAACAUGAUCAUCGAGAGCGAGCAGGAAGAGCCAGUAUUUGACACUGAACCAUACUACAGGCAGGGUCCUCUAGCCGAAGUUGAUCACUAGCUACCGGCAACCUGGACUGCCUACCUCAAUAUGCGUCAGGAGAUCUGAGACCCACAAGUGCAUCAUCAACUGCAGCAGGAUCUGGUGGAGCACCUAUGAAGGAUCAAGGGCGACACCUAGCUCGACGUGUGACGAAAUAUGAGUUCUUAUUUGUUGAACUAUAUAAAUUGUAUUGAACUAUUUGUUGUUGCACUAUUUUGUUGAACUAUUUGAUUUUCUGUGAUGAACUAUGUGCUAAACAAUUAUUUAUGUUGAGAAUUCAACGCCGAACCACGCCGAAUAUGGGUCGAUUCUCGCCGAUAUCGGGCCAUUUUUUUGCCGAAAAUGGGCCGAAAAGCGGCCAGGAAUGGGCCAAUAUCGACGACUGGGGGCGACGGCUGGAUGCCCAACCGCCCCCAUAGCCGAUUCUACAGCCGGCUCGCCCCCAGGCGGCGACUUUUUUGCCUCCUGGGGGGGCCAACGGCUGAGGAUGCUCUCGGACAAAUGAGAUUGUCGGUUUCCUUAGUUUUGCUAGCUACAAGGAUUAAUGUGCAGUGUGGUGAAAAUAAUUUCAUAAGCGAUGAAAGUAAAAAAAAUCAGAAUAUAAAAUAACAGAAAAUAAAGUGACCGAGUUUGUGAUUAUGAGGAAUAAAUAAUCGGGAUCCAUACCUUAGCUACUGGCAUUUCUUCAGAAAAGCAUAUAGAUGUGGUGAACGAAUUACAAUUGCAUAUCAAUGUUUAUGUUUAAUCAUACAUGUCAUGAUUGCAUAUAGGCAUUACGUCCAUCUAUUCAUAGGACGUUAUCCAAUUCCAUCUAUAGCUAAUACUUUACCUAAUAAUGCUAUCCAACAUGCAUAUCUAAAUAUUAAGUAAAAAUAAAGCAUUGCAUUAAACAAAGUGAGAUAAUGUAGAGAAUGUUAUUGUCUUUACCUAAAGUUCAUCAUCAAGGCAACUAGAAAGUUACCUUUUUAUUCUUAGUGGCAACAACACAAUACAACCUUCUGUCUUCGCCAUUAAGAUAGAUCACUUAUAAGCAUAAAUCCAACUAACAUACACAAUUCCCUCUUAAAGAUCAUCCAUCUAAUCAUGUCAAUUGGAAUAAUAAUAGACCAGCUAUCAUAUAUGUUCAUAAAUCAUGCAACAAAGAACCAAAACAAAACCAGAUAAAAUCCAUAUAUAAUCUGUUCAUUAAGUGACUGAAACAAACACACCGACAAUUACAUCAGAUGAAUCAUAAUCAUGUAGGACAACUCAUGUGAUCUUUCUAUCGAAGAACAAGGGUGAGAUGAUGCCACAUAGCUAAUGUUAUGGACCCAUAAUCCAAGGACUACUACUAACAUGUGGUCAUCAGAGCAGCAAUAUUGAUGAAGAUAGCUCCGUCGAUGAAUUUCCCCUCAGAUAGAGGAUCGGAAAAUAUCUCCAUAUUGAAUCACCUAGAAACGCGGGGUGACGGCGGGAGAAAAAAAUCUCAAUGAAUCUUUCUGGGUAUAUAAAGGCGCAGGGGUCGAGAGGCGUGCCCUAGGGGGUGGCACGACCCUUAUGCGUGGUCCAGGCCCAGACUAUGCCAACCCACCACAUACGUGUUGGGUUUCGUAGUAAUUUCAAAAAAUUUCCUACGCGCACACAGGAUCAUGUGAUGCAUAGCAACGAGGGGAGAGUGUUGUCUACGUACCCAACGCAGACCGACUGCGGAAGCGAUGACACGACGUAGAGGAAGUAGUCGUACGUCUUCACGAUCCAACCGAUCAAGCACCGAAACUACGGCACCUCCGAGUUCGAGCACACGUUCAGCCCGAUGACGAUCCCCGGACUCCGAUCCAGCAAAGUGUCGGGGAAGAGUUUCGUCAGCACGACGGCGUGGUGACGAUCUUGAUGAACUACAGCAGCAGGGCUUUGCCUAAACUCCGCUACAGUAUUAUCGAGGUAUAUGGUGGCAGGGGGCACCGCACACGGCUAAGGAAUAGAUCACGUGGAUCAACUUGUGUCAACUUGUGUGUUUAGAGGUGCCCCUGCCUCAGUAUAUAAAGGAGCCAAGGGGGGAGGAGGCGCCGGCCAGGAGGAGGUGGCGCAGGAGGAGUCCUACUCCUACCGAGAGUAGGACUCCCCCCCCCAAUCCUAUUCCAACUAGGAUUCCCAAGGGGGAGAGAGAGAGAGGGCUGGCCGGCCACCUCUCCUAGUCCUAAUAGGACUAGGGGAAGGGGGGGAGGCGCGCAGCCCUGGUGGGCAGCCCUUUCACCUUUCCACUAAGGCCCAUGUAGGCCCAUAUGACUCCCGGGGGGUUCCGGUAACCCUCCCGGUAACCCGGUAAAAUCCCGAUUUCACCCGGAACACUUCCGAUGUCCAAACAUAGGCUUCCAAUAUAUCAAUCUUUACGUCUCGACCAUUUCGAGACUCCUCGUCAUGUCCGUGAUCACAUCCGGGACUCCGAACAACCUUCGGUUCAUCAAAAUGCAUAAACUCAUAAUAUAACUGUCAUCGUAACCUUAAGCGUGCGGACCCUACGGGUUCGAGAACAAUGUAGACAUGACCGAGACACGUCUCUGGUCAAUAACCAAUAGCGGGACCUGGAUGCCCAUAUUGGCUCCUACAUAUUCUACGAAGAUCUUUAUCGGUCAGACCGCAUAACAACAUACGUUGUUCCCUUUGUCAUCGGUAUGUUACUUGCUCGAGAUUCGAUCGUCGGUAUCCAAUACCUAGUUCAAUCUCGUUACCGGCAAGUCUCUUUACUCGUUCCGUAAUACAUCAUCUUACAACUAACAUAUUAGUUGUAAUGCUUGCAAGGAUUAUGUGAUGUGUAUUACCGAGAGGGCCCAGAGAUACCUCUCCGACAAUCGGAGUGACAAAUCCUAACCUCGAAAUACGCCAACCCAACAUCUACCUUUGGAGACACCUGUAAUGCUCCUUUAUAAUCACCCAGUUACGUUGUGACAUUUGGUAGCACCCAAAGUGUUCCUCCGGCAAACGGGAGUUGCAUAAUCUCAUAGUCAUAGGAACAUGUAUAAGUCAUGAAGAAAGCAAUAGCAACAUACUAAACGAUCAGGUGCUAAGCUAAUGGAAUGGGUCAUGUCAAUCAGAUCAUUCAACUAAUGAUGUGACCUCGUUAAUCAAAUAACAACUCAUUGUUCAUGGUCAGGAAACAUAACCAUCUUUGAUUAACGAGCUAGUCAAGUAGAGGCAUACUAGUGACACUCUGUUUGUCUAUGUAUUCACACAUGUAUUAUGUUUCCGGUUAAUACAAUUCUAGCAUGAAUAAUAAACAUUUAUCAUGAUAUAAGGAAAUAAAUAAUAACUUUAUUAUUGCCUCUAGGGCAUAUUUCCUUCAGUCUCCCACUUGCACUAGAGUCAAUAAUCUAGUUCACAUCGCCAUGUGAUUUAACAGCAAUAGUUCACAUCACCAUGUGAUUAACACCCAUAGUUCACAUCGCUAUGUGACCAACACCCAAAGGGUUUACUAGAUUCAGUAAUCUAGUUCACAUCGCUAUGUGAUUAACACCCAAGGAGUACCAAGGUGUGAUCAUGUUUUGCUUGUGAGAGAAUCUUAGUCAACGGGUAUGUCAUAUACAGACCCGUAAGUUUUUUGCGAAUUCUAUGUCUACAAUGCUCUGCACGGAGCUACUCUAGCUAAUUGCUCCCACUUUCAAUAUGUAUCUAGAUCAAGACUUAGAGUCAUCUAGAUUAGUGUCAAACUUGCAUCGGCGUAACCUUUUACGACGAACCUUUUUCCAUAAUCGAGAAACAUAUCCUUAUUCCACUAAGGACAAUUUUGACCGCUCUCCAGUGAUCUACUCCUAGAUCACUAUUGUACUCCCUUGCCAAACUCAGUGGUAUGGCAUACAAUAGAUCUGGUAUACAGCAUGGCAUACUUUAUAGAACCUAUGACUGAGGCAUAGGGAAUGACUUUCAUUCUCUUUCUAUUUUCUGCCGUGGUCGGGCUUUGAGUCUUACUCAACUUAACACCUUGCAACAUAGGCAAGAACUCCUUCUUUGACUGUUCCAUUUUGAACUAUUUCAAAAAAUUUAUCAAGGUAUGUAUUCAUUGAAAAAAUCUUAUCAAGCGUCUUCAUCUAUCUAUAUAGAUCUUGAUGCUCAAUGUGUAAGCAGCUUCACCAAGGUCUUUCUUUGAAAAACUUUUAUUCAAGUAUCCUUUCAUGCUUUGCAGAAUAAUUCUACAUUAUUUCCGAUCAACAAUAUGUCAUUCACAUAUACUUAUCAGAAAUAUUGUAGUGCUCCCACUCACUUUCUUGUAAAUACAGGCUUCACUGUAAGUCUGUACAAUAACUAUAUGCUUUGAUCAACUUAUCAAAGCGUAUAUUCCAACUCCGAGAUUCUUGCACCAGUCCAUAAAUGGAUCGCUGGAGCUUGCACACUUUGUUAGCUCCCUUUGGAUCGACAAAACCUUCCGGUUGCAUCAUAUACAACUCUUCUUCCAGAAAUCCAUUCAGGAAUGCAGUUUUGACAUCCAUCUGCCAAAUUUCAUAAUCAUAAAAUGCGGCAAUUGCUAACAUGAUUCGGACAGACUUUUAAGCAUCGAUACGAGUAAGAAAAUCUCAUCGUAUUCAACACCUUGAACUUUGUCAAAAACCUUUUUCGACAAGUCUAGCUUUGUAGAUAGUAACACUACUAUCAAUGUCCGUCUUCCUCUUGAAGAUCCAUUUAUUCUUAAUGACUCACCGAUCAUCGGGCAAGUCAAUCAAAGUCUACACUUUGUUCUCAUACAUGGAUCAUAUCUCAGAUUUCAUGGCCUCAAGCAAUUUCGUGGAAUCUGGGCUCAUCAUUGCUUCCUCAUAGUUCGUAGGUUCAUCAUGGUCUAGUAACAUGACUUCCAGAACAUGAUUACCGUACCACUCUGGUGCGGAUCUUACUCUGGAAGACCUACGAGGUUUGGUAGUAACUUGAUCUGAAGUUUGAUGAUCAUCAUCAUUAACUUCCUCACUUAUUGGUGUAGGAAUCACUGGAACUGAUUUCUGUGAUGAACUACUUUCCAAUAAGGGAGAAGGUAUAAUUACCUCAUCAAGUUCUACUCUCCUCCCACUCACUUCUUUCGAGAGAAACUCCUUCUCUGGAAAGGAUCCAUUUUAGCAACGAAUGUCUUGCCUUCGGAUCUGUGAUAGAAGGUGUACCCAACAAUUUCCUUUGGGUAUGAAGACGCACUUCUCCGAUUUGGGUUCGAGCUUAUCAGGAUGAAACCUUUUUCACAUAAGCAUCGCAGCCCCAAACUUUAAGAAACAACAGGUUAGGUUUAUUGCUAAACCAUAGUUCAUACAGUGUCGUCUCAACGGAUUUAGAUGGUGCCCUAUUUUAAAACGUGAAUGCAACUGUCUCUAAUGCAUAACCCCAAAACGAUAGUGGUAAAGAGAUAUCAUAGAUCGCACCAUAUCAAAUAAAGUGCGGUUACGACGUUCAGACACACCAUAACGAUGUGGUGUUCCAGGUGGCGUGAGCUGUGAAACUAUUCCACAUUGUUUUAAUUGAAGACCAAACUCGUAACUCAAAUAUUUGUCUCCGCGAUCAGAUCGCAGAAACUUUAUUUUCUUGUUACGAUGAUUUUUCCACUUCACUCUGAAAUUCUUUGAACCUUUCAACUAUUUCAGACUUAUGUUUCAUCAAGUAGAUAUACCCAUAUCUGCUCAAAUCAUCUUGUGAAGGUCAGAAAACAACGAUGCUUGCCACAAGCAACAGCACUCAUUGGAUCGCAUACAUCGCUAUGUAUUAUUUCCAACAAGUCAGUAACUCGUUCCAUUGUUCCGAAGAACGGAGUUUUAGUUAUCUUUCCCAAAAGGCACGGUUCGCAAGCAUCAAAUGAUUCAUAACCAAGUGAUUCCGAAAAUCCAUCUUUAUGGAGUUUCUUCAUGCGCUUUACACCGAUAUGACCCAAACGGCAGUGCCACAAAUAAGUUGCACUAUCAUUAUUAACUUUGCAUCUUUUGGCAUCAAUAUUAUGAAUAUGUGUAUCACUACGAUCGAGAUCCAAUGAACCAUUUUCAUUGGGUGUGUAACCAUAUAAGGUUUUAUUCAUGUAAAUAGAACAACAGUUUAUUCUCUUAUUUAAAUGAAUAACCGUAUUGCAAUAAACAUGAUCAAAUCAUAUUCAUGCUCAACGCAAACACCAAAUAACAUUUAUUUAGGUUCAAUAUUAAUCCCGAAAGAAUAGGGAGUGUGCGAUGAUGAUCAUAUCAAUCUUGAAACUACUUUCAACACACAUCAUCACUUCACCCUUAACUAAUUUCUGUUUAUUCUGCAACUCCCGUUUCGAGUUACUACUCUUAGCAACUGAACCAGUACCAAAUACCGAGGGGUUGCUAUAAACACUAGUAAAGCACACAUCAAACACCUGUAUAUCAAAUAUACCCUUUUUCACUUUGCCAUCCUUCUUAUCCACCAAAUAUUUAGGGUAGUUCCGCUUCCAGUGACCAUUUCCUUUGCAGUGUAAGCACUCAGUUUCAGGCUUUGGUUCAGUUUUGGGCUUCUUCGUGGGAGUGACAACUUGCUUGUCAAUCUACUUGAAGUUCCCCUUUCUUUCCCUUUGCCCUUUUCUUGAAACUAGUGAUCUUGUCAACCAUCAACACUUGAUGCUCUUUCUUGAUUUCUACCUUCGUUGAUUUCAACAUCACGAAGAGCUCGGGAAUCAUUUUCAUCAUCCCUUGCAUACUAUAGUUCAUCACGAAGUUCUACUAACUUGGUGAUGGUGACUAGAGAAUUCUGUCAAUCACUAUCUUAUCUGGAAGAUUAACUCCCACUUGAUUCAAGCGAUUGAAGUACCCAGACAAUCUGAGCACAUGCUCACUAGUUGAGCGAUUCUCCUCCAUCUUUUAGCUAUAGAACUUGUUGGAGACUUCAUAUCUCUCAACUCGGGUAUUUGUUUGAAAUAUUAACUUCAAUUCCUGGAACAUCUCAUAUGGUCCAUGACGUUCAAAACGUCUUUGAAGUCCCGAUUCUAAGCCGUUAAGCAUGGUGCACUAAACUAUCAAGUAGUCAUCAUAUUGAGCUAGCCAGACGUUCAUAACUUCUGUAUCUGCUCCUGCAAUAGGUCUGUCACCUAGCGGUGCAUUAAGGACAUAAUUCUUCUGUGCAGCAAUGAGGAUUUAACCUCAGAUCACGGAUCAAAUCCGCAACAUUGCUACUAACAUUUUUCAACACAAUUUUCUCUAGGAACAUAUCAAAAUAAACACAGGGAAGCAACAACGCGAGCUAUUGAUCUUCAACAUGAUUUGCAAAAUACUACCAGGACUAAGUUCAUGAUAAAUUUAAGUUCAAUUUAAUCAUAUUACUUAAGAACUCCCACUUAGAUAGACAUCCCUCUAAUCCUCUAAGUGAUCACGUGAUCCAAAUCAACUAAACCAUGUCCGAUCAUCACGUGAGAUGGAGUAGUUUCAUCGGUGAACAUCAUUAUGUUGAUCAUAUCUACUAUAUGAUUCACGCUCGACCUUUCGGUCUCCGUGUUCCGAGGCCAUAUCUGCAUAUGCUAGGCUCGUCAAGUUUAACCUGAGUAUUCUGCGUGUGCAAAACUGGCUUGUACCCGUUGUAGAUGGACGUAGAGCUUAUCACACCCCAUCAUCACGUGGUGUCUGGGCACGACGAACUUUGGCAACGGUGCAUACUCAGGGAGAACACUUCUUGAUAAUUUAGUGAGAGAUCAUCUUAUAAUGCUACCGUCAAUCAAAGCAAGAUAAGAUGCAUAAAAGGAUAUACAUCACAUGCAAUCAAUAUAAGUGAUAUGAUAUGGCCAUCAUCAUCUUGUGCUUGUGAUCUCCAUCUCCGAAGCACCGUCAUGAUCACCAUCGUCACCGGCGCGACACCUUGAUCUCCAUCGUAGCAUCGUUGUCGUCUCGCCAAUCUUAUGCUUCCACGACUAUCACUACCGUUUAGUAAUAAAGUUAAGCAUUACAUCGCGAUUGCAUUGCAUACAAUAAAGCGACAACCAUAUGGCUCCUGCCAGUUGCCGAUAACUCGGUUACAAAACAUGAUCAUCUCAUACAAUAAAAUUCAGCAUCAUGCUUUGACCAUAUCACAUCACAACAUGCCCUGCAAAAACAAGUUAGACGUCCUCUACUUUGUUGUUGCAUGUUUUACGUGGCUGCUACGGGCUUAAGUAAGAACCAAUCUCACCUACGCAUCAAAACCACAACGAUAGUUUGUCAAAUAGACUCCGUUUUAACCUUCUCAAGGACCGGGCGUAGCCAUACUUGGUUCAACUAAAGUUGGAGAGACAGUCGCCCGCAAGCCAUCUAUGUGCAAAGCACGUCGAGGGAACCGGUCUCGCGUAAGCGUACGCGUAAGGUUGGUCCGGGUCGUCUCGUCCAACAAUACCGCCGAACCAAAGUAUGACAUGCUGGUAGGCAGUAUGACUUGUAUCGUCCACAACUCACUUGUGUUCUACUCGUGCAUAUAACAUCAACAUAAAUAACCUAGGCUCUGAUGCCACUGUUGGGUUUCGUAGUAAUUUCAAAAAAUUUCCUACGCGCACACAGGAUCAUGUGAUGCAUAGCAACGAGGGGAGAGUGUUGUCUACGUACCCAACGCAGACCGACUGCGGAAGCGAUGACACGACGUAGAGGAAGUAGUCGUACGUCUUCACGAUCCAACCGAUCAAGCACCGAAACUACGGCACCUCCGAGUUCGAGCACACGUUCAGCCCGAUGACGAUCCCCGGACUCCGAUCCAGCAAAGUGUCGGGGAAGAGUUUCGUCAGCACGACGGCGUGGUGACGAUCUUGAUGAACUACAGCAGCAGGGCUUCGCCUAAACUCCGCUACAGUAUUAUCGAGGUAUAUGGUGGCAGGGGGCACCGCACACGGCUAAGGAAUAGAUCACGUGGAUCAACUUGUGUCAACUUGUGUGUUUAGAGGUGCCCCUGCCUCAGUAUAUAAAGGAGCCAAGGGGGGAGGAGGCGCCGGCCAGGAGGAGGUGGCGCAGGAGGAGUCCUACUCCUACCGGGAGUAGGACUCCCCCCCCAAUCCUAUUCCAACUAGGAUUCCCAAGGGGGAGAGAGAGAGAGGGCUGGCCGGCCACCUCUCCUAGUCCUAAUAGGACUAGGGGAAGGGGGGGAGGCGCGCAGCCCUGGUGGGCAGCCCUUUCACCUUUCCACUAAGGCCCAUGUAGGCCCAUAUGACUCCCGGGGGGUUCCGGUAACCCUCCCGGUAACCCGGUAAAAUCCCGAUUUCACCCGGAACACUUCCGAUGUCCAAACAUAGGCUUCCAAUAUAUCAAUCUUUACGUCUCGACCAUUUCGAGACUCCUCGUCAUGUCCGUGAUCACAUUCGGGACUCCUAACAACCUUCGGUUCAUCAAAAUGCAUAAACUCAUAAUAUAACUGUCAUCGUAACCUUAAGCGUGCGGACCCUACGGGUUCGAGAACAAUGUAGACAUGACCGAGACACGUCUCUGGUCAAUAACCAAUAGCGGGACCUGGAUGCCCAUAUUGGCUCCUACAUAUUCUACGAAGAUCUUUAUCGGUCAGACCGCAUAACAACAUACGUUGUUCCCUUUGUCAUCGGUAUGUUACUUGCCCGAGAUUCGAUCGUCGGUAUCCAAUACCUAGUUCAAUCUCGUUACCGGCAAGUCUCUUUACUCGUUCCGUAAUACAUCAUCUUACAACUAACAUAUUAGUUGUAAUGCUUGCAAGGCUUAUGUGAUGUGUAUUACCGAGAGGGCCCAGAGAUACCUCUCCGACAAUCGGAGUGACAAAUCCUAAUCUCGAAAUACGCCAACCCAACAUCUACCUUUGGAGACACCUGUAAUGCUCCUUUAUAAUCACCCAGUUACGUUGUGACGUUUGGUAGCACCCAAAGUGUUCCUCCGGCAAACGGGAGUUGCAUAAUCUCAUAGUCAUAGGAACAUGUAUAAGUCAUGAAGAAAGCAAUAGCAACAUACUAAACGAUCAGGUGCUAAGCUAAUGGAAUGGGUCAUGUCAAUCAGAUCAUUCAACUAAUGAUGUGACCUCGUUAAUCAAAUAACAACUCAUUGUUCAUGGUCAGGAAACAUAACCAUCUUUGAUUAACGAGCUAGUCAAGUAGAGGCAUACUAGUGACACUCUGUUUGUCUAUGUAUUCACACAUGUAUUAUGUUUCCGGUUAAUACAAUUCUAGCAUGAAUAAUAAACAUUUAUCAUGAUAUAAGGAAAUAAAUAAUAACUUUAUUAUUGCCUCUAGGGCAUAUUUCCUUCAAUACGGCCCAUAGGGCUCCCCGAGUUCCUCCUUUGCCCUAUAGUGUAUUCCCAACUUCAAUCUUCACGAUGUAUUUUUAUUUUAUUGUUUUGGUCUCCAAAAAAGUAUUUUUGUGCAAACUAAAAAAAGUAGAAAAGUGUAACCGGUAAUGGGCACUAGAUUAAUAGAUUAGUACAUUAAAAUUGUGUAAAGUGUCAAAACUAUGUAAUAAUGAUAUAAAAGUAGCAUGACCAUAACAAAAACUAUAUAUGCAUUUGAGAGUAUCAACAUGCUCAAGCUUAAUCUUACUCGUCCUCGAGUAGGUAGAUGAUAAUUGUUUUUUGAUUGUGAAUGCUAUCUUAACAGGAAGGAGAGCCUUGGUGCAACAGUAAGGGCCAGUUCUUUUCGGCGAUUCUCCCAGAAUCGCCCCCCUCCCCAGCUUCUCCCAGAAUUGCCACUCCAUAUUUUUUUACAAUCCUAUCUAGUUAAGGUCUAAUUAGCUAGGAUUGUAAAAAACAUAUAGAGUGGUGAUUUUGGGAGAAGCUGGGGAGGGGGGCGAUUCUAGUAGAAUCGCCCAAAAGAACUGGCCCUUAAAGUUGUUGCCUUAUGACCAUGAGGUCAUGGAUUCGAGUCCUAGAAACAACCUGCUGUACAAAUGCAGGGAAAACUGUGUACAAAAGAUCCAAAGUGGUUGGACCCUUUCCCAAACCACGCGCAAGCCGCGUCUCCGCCUCCUCGGCUUGGGCAAGGUGGAACUGCCUCUCUGCCUCCUCCAUCCCAAAUCCGUCGGGCUCGACGUCCGUGCCCGCUGCCUCCUCCCCCGCCUCCUCUUCCUCCUUCUCCUCCUCCUGCUCUGACACCUCCGUCUCCGCCUGACCCUUGUCCGUAAGGCUAGCGGCGUGGUGUGCAUGAAGGAAAUAUGCCCUAGAGGCAAUAAUAAAGUUAUUAUUUAUUUCCUUAUAUCAUGAUAAAUGUUUAUUAUUCAUGCUAGAAUUGUAUUAACCGGAAACAUGAUACAUGUGUGAAUACAUAGACAAACAGAGUGUCACUAGUAUGCCUCUACUUGAAUAGCUCAUUAAUCAAAGAUGGUUAUGUUUCCUAACCAUUGACAAAGAGUUGUUAUUUGAUUAACGAGGUCACAUCAUUAGUUGAAUGAUCUGAUUGACAUGACCCAUUUUCAUUAGCUUAGCACCCGAUCGUUUAGUAUGUUGCUAUUGCUUUCUUCAUGACUUAUACAUGUUCCUAUGACUAUGAGAUUAUGCAACUCCCGUUUACCGGAGGAACACUUUGUGUGCUACCAAAUGUCACAACGUAACUAGGUGAUUAUAAAGGAGCUCUACAGGUGUCUCCAAAGGUAGAUGUUGGGUUGGCGUAUUUCGAGAUUAGGAUUUGUCACUCUGAUUGUCGGAGAGGUAUCUCUAGGCCCUCUCGGUAAUGCACAUCACAUAAGCCUUGCAAGCAUUGCAACUAAUGAGUUAGUUGCGAGAUGAUGUAUUACGGAAUGAGUAAAGAGACUUGCCGGUAACGAGAUUGAACUAGGUAUUGGAUACCGACGAUCGAAUCUCGGGCAAGUAACAUACCGAUGACAAAGGGAACAACGUAUGUUGUUAUACGGUCUGACCGAUAAAGAUCUUCGUUGAAUAUGUAGGAGCCAAUAUGGGCAUCCAGGUCCCGCUAUUGGUUAUUGACCGGAGAUGUGUCUCAGUCAUGUCUGCAUUAUUCUCGAACCAUAGGGUCCGCACGCUUAAUGUUACGAUGACAGUUAUUAUGAGUUUAUGCAUUUUGAUGUACCGAAGUUAGUUCGGAGUCCCGGAUAUGAUCACGGACAUGACGAGGAGUCUCUAAAUGGUCAAGACAUAAAGAUUGAUAUAUUGGAAGCCUAUAUUUGGACAUCGGAAGUGUUCCGGGUGAAAUCGGGAUUUUACCGGAGUACCGGGAGGUUACCGGAACCCCCCGGGAGCCAUAUGGGCCUUAAUGGGCUUUAGUGGAAAGGAAAAAGGGGCAGCCCAAGGUGGCCGCGCGCCUCCCCCCUAGUCCUAUUAGGACUAGGAGAGGUGGCCGACCCCCCUCUCUCUCUUUCCCCCUCGGGGAAUCCUAGUCCAACUAGGAUUGGGGGGGGGGGGGAGUCCUACUCCCGGUAGGAGUAGGACUCCUCCUGCGCCCUCCUCCUGGCAGGCGCUGACGGUGGCGACGCUGUUCCCGCUGGGCGGGCUGCUGCUGGUGCUGUCCGGGCUGGCGCUGGCGGGCACCGUGGUGGGGCUGGCCGUGGCCACGCCGGUGUUCCUGCUCUUCAGCCCCGUGCUGGUCCCGGCCGCGCUCACCAUCGGCCUGGCCGUCACCGGGUUCCUCACCUCCGGCGCGCUGGGGCUGGGCGGCCUCUCCUCGCUCACCGUGCUCGCCAACACGGCGCGCCAGGCGUUCCAGCGCACCCCGGACUACGUGGAGGAGGCGCGCCAGCGCAUGGCCGACGCUGCCGCGGCCGCGGGGCACAAGACGCAGCAGGCCGGCCACGCCAUCCAGAGCCGCGCGGAGGAGGCGCGCGCCGGAGGAGGAGGCGGCCACACCGGCGCCACCGGCGGAGCGGGCGCCGGCACCGGCACCAGGGCGUCGUCGUAAGCCGGAGCCAGCAGGCCGAUGUCAGUCCGCCGCGCCGCGCAGCAGGGCGCGCGUCGUCUAGCUACUACCUGCUCUAUGUGUGCUAGCGCCUUCGUACGUGUCUACACGAGCGAGUGUGUGUGCGUUCGUGCGUGUCAGUGUGUGUGUGUGAUGUUUCUACUGUUUUAGUACUGCUCGUGUUCGUCCGAUCGAUCGGUUUAGUACCGAGUUGUGAAUAAGAAAAGGCCCGGGCCGCUUCGUCUGUCCAUGCAUUUGCUUCUGUGCUGCUUCAGUGUGUGUGUGUGUGUGUGUGUGUGUGUGUGUGUGUGUGUGUGUGUGUGUGUGUGUGUGUGUGUGUGUGUGUGUGAUGUUGUACUACACGCUGCCGAUCAUUUGACAUCGACGAGGAUAAUUCACCAUUUGGCCCAUCCUUCGUACGAGAAUACUUCAGAAUCCGUCUUCCUUUUCUGAAACGAAGUUCAGAUUCUGUCUUCGUUGAAUGCGAAGCGUGCAAGACGAUUAUCCCAGCUCAAACUUAGUGACACAUCACCACUACAGACGUACAGACGUACUACGUGCCGGAGGCAAAAAUAAACACGUACACACGUCAGGUGCAGGAGUGAAACCAUCUCCCAAAGCAAGGCAACAAUAUACACCAUGGCUUGCUGGCCGCUGCACCCUUUUGUAUUUUUUGGAGUGAAUGGCGGAGCUUUACUGCACAAUGAAGUUUUAGGGCAUGCAAAUUGGAUCAGGAGAAUACAGAAACCACACAUGCGUAAGGUGUAUUGUUCGGCGUGUGAGGAAUGGAAGAGGCACGGACAUAACUUUAGGGCACCCCACUACUUUUUGCAUACAUUAGGGCAUCUCCAACGUUAUUAUUUUUUGCAUUUUCUUGUUCAUACGUUUUUUUAGGGGGGUUCUUUUUCAUACGUUAGGGAAUACGCUGACGGUGACGGGACACUGCUGUCGGAGGCCGAGGGCCGUCAUCCAACGCUGCUAAAUCAGCCGACAUUUAUCCAGUUAGGGUGGAAAAUAGUAUAAAUCUUCCAUACAUAGCAUACAAAUAAGUCGUCUAUAGAAAAUAGUAUAAAUCCUCCGUACAUAGCAUACAAAUAAGUCGUCUAGUACAAAAUGUCUCAAAUUCAACACCGGAUGUCCAAUAAGCUUCAUCAAAAUGUCUCAAAUUCAACACGGAUGUCCAAUAAGCUUCAUCAACGAAUUAUGUCGUCUCAUACAUACUGCCCUUCAGUUAACCGUGUGUACUUAAAUGACCGUGCAAUGGUCAUCUUUUCUCCAGCUGAGUUAUCACGGUGACACUAGUCUGAAUAGCGUACCAGUGAUACGGUAAUGAUCUCACAUGCCUUCUUGAAUAAUGUGCAUAUUGUAGGGAGCAAUGUGUUUUUGGGCGUGAAAUAAUUCAUGUACUUGCUGCCAGAAGGUCGUCCUCUACUCCCGCCUACAAAGUUCAUGGAUACGGCCAACCAUGUAUCGCACAACAGCUCAUCCUCCACGGUCGAGUACCCUGCCAUCCUUCGUACUCUGAAAGAAUGACAUCGCAUCCAAAAUUAAGCUAAAUGGCAUUUGAUCGAACACAUGUCGGGCGCGGUGUCUGCCGUGGAGGUUGUCGACAGGGGGCGGAGUGUACCUGAGUACAAACGACUCUAGGAUGGACAACGCCGUCAUAAAGGCGAGCGGGCGCGCCGAUGCUGGUUGCGGACGUUCGGCAAUGUCUCUGUGACGAUCGGAGAGGUAUAAGGGCCGUGACGAAGAUGGAGGGUGCCGAUGCAAUGUAAGGGCGAUAAGGGGUAGAGUGAAAGAAAAUGGGGCCAAGAGGGGGGGGGUUAGUGGGUCUCGGGUGCCGGAGUCCUACGUGGCUACAUGCCGGACUCCCGCAACCCCCCCCCCCCAUUUUGUCUCCACUUUGCAGGAGAAAGCAUGUCCGGACCGCCAUGCGGAACGAUACGGGCCCAAGUUGAAUGGCNNNNNNNNNNNNNNNNNNNNNNNNNNNNNNNNNNNNNNNNNNNNNNNNNNNNNNNNNNNNNNNNNNNNNNNNNNNNNNNNNNNNNNNNNNNNNNNNNNNNNNNNNNNNNNNNNNNNNNNNNNNNNNNNNNNNNNNNNNNNNNNNNNNNNNNNNNNNNNNNNNNNNNNNNNNNNNNNNNNNNNNNNNNNNNNNNNNNNNNNNNNNNNNNNNNNNNNNNNNNNNNNNNNNNNNNNNNNNNNNNNNNNNNNNNNNNNNNNNNNNNNNNNNNNNNNNNNNNNNNNNNNNNNNNNNNNNNNNNNNNNNNNNNNNNNNNNNNNNNNNNNNNNNNNNNNNNNNNNNNNNNNNNNNNGCCGUCAUAAAGGCGAGCGGGCGCGCCGAUGCUGGUUGCGGACGUUCGGCAAUGUCUCUGUGACGAUCGGAGAGGUAUAAGGGCCGUGACGAAGAUGGAGGGUGCCGAUGCAAUGUAAGGGCGAUAAGGGGUAGAGUGAAAGAAAAUGGGACCAAGAGGGGGGGGGUUAGUGGGUCUCGGGUGCCGGAGUCCUACGUGGCUACAUGCCGGACUCCCGCAACCCCCCCCCCCCAUUUUGUCUCCACUUUGCAGGAGAAAGCAUGUCCGGACCGCCAUGCGGAACGAUACGGGCCCAAGUUGAAUGGCACAACACGUCUGGACCACACUGCUCGAACGGUUGCGGGCAGUUUGAGGAUCGGCGUUGGAGAUGCCCAUAGUGCUUCAAAUUACCAUCAUUGCAUUUCAUACCUUUCAUGUUUACAUAUUAUUCAAAGUAGCACCAUUGCAUUUCAUAUUCUUCAUGUUUACAUAUUAGUUGGUACUUUUUCACUGUAGAACAAGCAAAGUUGGAUGAGCUUUCUCAAACACUUUAGGUGUUUAUAAACAAGCGAAGUUUGAUGCACGUCUCCACUAAGUCAUUUGGAGAGCUUUCAUUUAUUCAUAGCUUUAGUGAAUCCAUUGCAUGACAAUCGCUACUCCAUGCAUCAACAUCGAUUAUAUGACUUCUCCAUUACCUAAUGAUCAGUCACGUUGAUGCCAUACUUUCUUCCUUUUUGACUUCUUAUUAACCUCCAUUAUUUAUUUAUCUUUUUGUUUAAGUGUAAAGAUUAAGGCUCGCGCUAGAAAAUGCAUAACUCUAAGUUAAUUGAAACAAGAGAUUGUGUAGUUGAUAUACUUGACCAACACUCUGGCCACUUUAUGAUAAAAUUGUUUCUGAUACAAUUAAGACUUAGCAUACUAUGGUUUCAUGAUACACCUAACAUUGUAUCUGAACCUAAAAGGCAUUGGUGUAUUUGAUAUGAAAGCAUUGAUCCAUGAAAAGCGAGUGAUUUUACUUGCACUUUUUUAUGUUAUCUUCUUUUAUCAACUAUAAAACAUUGCAUUGCAACGUUGUUCUUUACCGUCAUACCUAAAUUACAUCAUAUUGAUUAUAAUUCAUGUUUGUAGCAUUUACAAUCAAAAUUUAUGUUGUUAUCAUCUAUCUGCUCGAGGACAAGUAUGGAUUUAGCCUGGUGAUGUUGAUACUUCUCAUAUAUGUAUAUUUCUUUGAUUGUUUCACGCUAGGUUUAUACUCCCUCCGUUUCUUUAUAUAAGGUGGAUUUGUUUUUUGAUGAAAUUCUAGAAUCUAAGGUGUAUUUCUUAUAAUUCUUCAUAGUUCCCUUGUCCGCCCACCAGAAAAAAGAAAACUAUCUUUCUCCUGAUUGUCUGUAUCUCUCCUUGUAGCAAAAGAAGGAAAGUAUCUCUAUGUCGAUUGCAUCUCUUACUUUCCUGGACUAACUGAUUUACCUGCCACUAACCAACAAAUUUGCCAAGGGUAAUUCCGUCCUAACAUGUCUAUAAUUAUGUGUUGGAAAUAUGCCCUAGAGGCAAUAAUAAAAGCAUUAUUAUUAUAUUUCCUUGUUCAUGAUAAUUGUCUUUAUUCAUGCUAUAAUUGUGUUAUCCGGAAAUCGUAAUACAUGUGUGAAUAAUAGACACCAACAUGUCCCUAGUAAGCCUCUAGUUGACUAGCUCGUUGAUCAACAGAUAGUCAUGGUUUCCUGGCUAUGGACAUUGGAUGUCAUUGAUAACGGGAUCACAUCAUUAGGAGAAUGAUGUGAUGGACAAGACCCAAUCCUAAACAUAUCAUAAGAUCGUAUAGUUUGUUUGCUAGAGUUUUCCAAUGUCAAGUAUCCUUUCCUUAGACCAUGAGAUCGUGUAACUCCCGGAUACCGUAGGAGUGCUUUGGGUGUACCAAACGUCACAACGUAACUGGGUGACUAUAAAGGUAUACUACGGGUAUCUCCGAAAGUGUCUGUUGGAUUGACAUGGAUCAAGACUGGGAUUUGUCACUCCGUAUGACGGAGAGGUAUCACUGGGCCCACUCGGUAAUGCAUCAUCAUAAUGAGCUCAAAGUGACCAAGUGUCUGGUCACGGGAUCAUGCAUUACGGUACGAGUAAAGUGACUUGCCGGUAACGAGAUUGAACGAGGUAUUGGGAUACCGACGAUCGAAUAUCGGGCAAGUAACAUACUGAUUGACAAAGGGAAUUGUAUACGGGGUUGCUUGAAUCCUCGACAUCGUGGUUCAUCCGAUGAGAUCAUCGAGGAGCAUGUGGGAGCCAACAUGGGUAUCCAGAUCCCGCUGUUGGUUAUUGACUGGAGAGUCGUCUCGGUCAUGACUACAUGUCUCCCGAACCCGUAGGGUCUACACACUUAAGGUUCGGUGACGCUAGGGUUGUAGGGAUAUGUAUAUGCAGUAACCCGAAUGUUGUUCGGAGUCCCGGAUGAGAUCCCGGAUGUCACGAGGAGUUCCGGAAUGGUCCGGAGGUAAAGAAUUAUAUAUAGGAAGUGCUAUUUCGGGCAUCGGGACAAGUUUCGGGGUCACCGGUAUUGUACCGGGACCACCGGAAGGGUCCCGGGGGUCCAUCGGGUGGGGCCACCUGCCCCGGGGGGCCACAUGGGCUGUAGGGGGUGUGCCUUGGCCUAUAUGGGCCAAGGGCACCAGCCCCAAGAGGACCAUGCGCCUAGGGUUCAAGAAGGGAAGAGUCUCAAAGGGGGAAGGCACCUCCUAGGUGCCUUGGGGAGGAGGGAUUCCUCCCUUGGCCGCACCCCCUAGGAGAUUGGAUCUCCUAGGGCCGGCGCCCCCCCCCUUGGACUCCCUAUAUAUAGUGGGGAAAGGAGGGCCUCUCAUAACACAUCUUUGGUGCCUCCCUCUCCCUCUCCAACACAUCCUCCUCCUCCAUAGUGCUUGGCGAAGCCCUACCGGAGUACUGCAGCUCCACCACCACCACGCCGUCGUGCUGCUGCUGGAGCCAUCUUCCUCAACCUCUCCUUCCCCCUUGCUGGAUCAAGAAGAAGGAGACGUCACGCUGACCGUACGUGUGUUGAACGCGGAGGUGCCGUCCGUUCGGCGCUAGGAUCUCCGGUGAUUUGGAUCACGUCGAGUACGCCUUCCUCAUCCCCGUUCUUUGAACGCUUCCGCGCGUGAUCUACAAAGGUAUGUAGAUGCAAUCCAAUCACUCGUUGCUAGAUGAACUCCUAGAUGGAUCUUGGUGAAACCGAAGGAAAAUUUUUGUUUUCUGCAACGUUCCCCAACAGUGGCAUCCUGAGCUAGGUCUAUGCGUAGUUCUCUUGCAUGAGUAGAACACAAUUUGUUGUGGGCGUUGAUGUUGUCAACUUUCUUGCCGCUACUAGUCUUAUCUUGCUUCAACGGUAUUGUGGGAUGAAGCGGCCCGGACCAACCUUACACGUACGCUUACGUGAGACCGGUUCCACCGACUAACAUGCACAAGUUGCAUAAAGGUGGCUGGCGGGUGUCUGUCUCUCCCACUUUAGUUGGAGCGGAUUCGAUGAAAAGGGUCCUUAUGAAGGGUAAAUAGAAGUUGACAAAUCACGUUGUGGCUUUCAUGUAGCUAAGAAAACGUUCUUGCUAGAACCCUACUUCAGCCACGUAAAACUUGCAACAACAAUUAGAGGACGUCUAACUUGUUUUUGCAGCAAGUGCUUUGUGAUAUGAUAUGGCCAAAGUUGUGAUGAAUGAUGAAUGAUCUAUAUGUGAUGUAUGAGAUGUUCAUGCUAUUGUAAUAGGAAUCACGACUUGCAUGUCGAUGAGUAUGACAACCGGCAGGAGCCAUAGGAGUUGUCUUUAUUUUUUGUAUGACCUGCGUGUCAUUGAGAAACGCCAUGUAAAUUACUUUACUUUAUUGCUAAACGCGUUAGCCAUAGUAGUAGAAGUAAUAGUUGGCGAGCAACUUCAUGGAGACACAAUGAUGGAGAUCAUGAUGAUGGAGAUCAUGGUGUCAUGCCGGUGACAAGAUGAUCAUGGAGCCCCAAGAUGGAGAUCAAAGGAGCUAUGUGAUAUUGACCAUAUCAUGUCACUAUUAUUAUUUGAUUGCAUGUGAUGUUUAUCAUGUUUUUGUAUCUUGUUUGCUUAGAAUGACGGUAGUAAAUAAGAUGAUCCCUCAUAAUAAUUUCAAGAAAGUGUACCCCCUAACUGUGCACCGUUGCGACACUUUGUUGUUUCGAAGCACCACGUGAUGAUCGGGUGUGACAGAUUCUAACGUUCACAUACAACGGGUGUAAGACAGAUUUACACAUGCAAAACACUUAGGUUGACUUGACGAGCCUAGCAUGUACAGACAUGGCCUCGGAACACAGAAGACCGAAAGGUCGAGCAUGAGUCGUAUAGAAGAUACGAUCAACAUGAAGAUGUUCACCGACGUUGACUAGUCCGUCUCACGUGAUGAUCGGACACGGCCUAGUUAACUCGGAUCAUGUUAUACUUAGAUGACUGGAGGGAUGUCUAUCUGAGUGGGAGUUCAUUAUAAUUUGAUUAGAUGAACUUAAUUAUCAUGAACUUAGUCUAAAAUAUUUAUAAUAUGUCUUGUAGAUCAAAUGGCCAACGUAGUCCUCAACUUCAACACGUUCCUAGAGAAAACCAAGCUGAAAGACGAUGGCAGCAACUACACGGACUGGGUCCAGAACCUGAGGAUCAUCCUCAUAGAUGCCAAGAAAGAUUAUGUCCUACAAGCACCGCUAGGUGAUGCACCUGUUCUCCCUGCAGAACAAGACGUUAUGAACGCUUGGCAGGCACGUACCGAUGACUACUCCCUCGUUCAGUGCGGCAUGCUUUACAGCUUAGAGCCGGGGCUCCAAAAGCGUUUUGAGAGACACGGAGCAUAUUAGAUGUUCGAAGAGCUGAAAAUGGUUUUCCAAGCUCAUGCCCGGGUCGAGAGAUAUGAAGUCUCCGACAAAUUCUUCAGCUGUAAGAUGGAGGAAAAUAGUUCCGUCAGUGAGCACAUACUCACAAUGUCUGGGUUACAUAACCGCUUGACUCAGCUGGGAGUUAAUCUCCCGGAUGACGCGGUCAUUGACAGAAUCCUUCAGUCGCUUCCACCAAGCUACAAGAGCUUUGUAAUGAACUUCAAUAUGCAGGGGAUGGAAAAGACCAUUCCUGAAGUAUUUGCAAUGCUGAAAUCAGCAGAGGUAGAAGUCAAAAAGGAACAUCAAGUGUUGAUGGUGAAUAAAACCACUAAGUUCAAGAAAGGCAAGGGUAAGAAAACCUUCAAGAAAGACGGCAAGGGAGUUGCCGCGCCCGGCAAGCAAGCUGCCAGGAAGAAGCCAAAGAAUGGACCCAAGCCCGAGACUAAGUGCUUUUAUUGCAAGGAAAGUGGUCACUGGAAGCGGAACUGCCCCAAAUACUUAGCGGACAAGAAGGCCGGCAAAACGAAAGGUAUAUGUGAUAUACAUGUAAUUGGUGUGUACCUUACCAGUACUCGUAGUAGCUCUUGGGUAUUUGAUACCGGUGCGGUUUCUCACAUUUGUAACUCAAAACAGGAGCUGCGGAAUAAGCGGAGAGUGGCGAAGGACGAGGUGACGAUGCACGUCGGGAAUGGUUCCAAGGUUGAUGUGAUCGCCGUCGGCACGCUGCCUCUUCAUUUACCUACGGGAUUAGUUUUAAACCUCAAUAAUUUUUAUUUAGUGCCAAGUUUGAGCAUGAACAUUGUAUCAGGAUCUCGUUUAAUUCGAGAUGGCUACUCAUUUAAAUCCGAGAAUAAUGGUUGUUUUAUUUAUAUGAGAGAUAUAUUUUAUGGUCAUGCUCCGAUGGUGAAUGGUUUAUUCUUAAUGAAUCUCGAGCGUAAUGCUACACAUGUUCAUAGUGUGAGUACCAAAAGAUGUAAGAUUGAUAAUGAUAGUCUCACAUACUUGUGGCACUGCCGCCUUGGUCACAUAGGUGUCAAACGCAUGAAGAAGCUCCAUGCUGAUGGACUUUUAGAGUCUCUUGAUUAUGAAUCAUUUGACACGUGCGAACCAUGCCUCAUGGGUAAAAUGACCAAGACUCCGUUCUCAGGAACAAUGGAGCGAGCAACCAACUUAUUGGAAAUCAUACAUACUGAUGUGUGCGGUCCAAUGAGUGUUGAGGCUCGCGGUGGCUAUCGUUAUGUUCACACCCUCAGUGAUGACUUGAGUAGAUAUGGGUAUAUCUACUUAAUGAAACACAAGUCUGAAACCUUUGAAAAGUUCAAGGAAUUUCAGAGUGAGGUUGAGAAUCAACGUGACAGGAAAAUCAAGUUCCUACGAUCAGAUCGUGGAGGAGAAUACUUGAGUCACGAGUUUGGCACACACUUAAGAAAAUGUGGAAUAGUUUCACAACUCACGCCGCCUGGAACACCUCAGCGUAAUGGUGUGUCCGAACGUCGUAAUCGCACUCUAUUAGAUAUGGUGCGAUCUAUGAUGUCUCUUACCGAUUUACCGCUAUCUUUUUGGGGCUAUGCUUUAGAGACUGCCGCAUUCACUUUAAAUAGGGCUCCGUCGAAAUCCGUUGAGACGACACCGUAUGAAUUAUGGUUUGGGAAGAAACCUAAGCUGUCGUUUCUAAAAGUUUGGGGAUGCGAUGCUUAUGUCAAGAAACUUCAACCUGAAAAGCUCGAACCCAAGUCGGAAAAAUGCGUCUUCAUAGGAUACUCUAAAGAAACUAUUGGGUAUACCUUCUACCUCAGAUCCGAAGGCAAGAUCUUUGUUGCCAAGAAUGGAUCCUUUCUAGAGAAAGAGUUUCUCUCGAAAGAAGUAAGUGGGAGGAAAGUAGAACUUGAUGAAGUAUUACCUCUUGAACCGGAAAAUGGCGCAGCUCAAGAAAAUGUUCCUGAGGUGCCUGCACCGACUAGAGAGGAAGUUAAUGAUGAUGAUCAAGAUACUUCUGAUCAAGCUCCUACUGAAAUUCGAAGGUCCACAAGGACACGUUCCACACCAGAGUGGUACGACAACCCUGUCUUGGAAAUCAUGUUGUUAGACAACGGUGAACCUUCGAACUAUGAAGAAGCGAUGGCGGGCCCGGAUUCCAACAAAUGGCUAGAAGCCAUGAAAUCCGAGAUAGGAUCCAUGUAUGAAAACGAAGUAUGGACUUUGACUGACUUGCCCGUUGAGCGGCGAGCCAUAGAAAAUAAAUGGAUCUUUAAGAAGAAGACAGACGCGGAUGGUAAUGUGACCAUCUAUAAAGCUCGGCUUGUCGCUAAGGGUUAUCGACAAGUUCAAGGGGUUGACUACGAUGAGACUUUCUCACCGGUAGCGAAGCUGAAGUCCAUUCGAAUCAUGUUAGCGAUUGCCGCAUUCUAUGAUUAUGAAAUAUGGCAAAUGGACGUCAAAAUGGCAUUCCUUAAUGGUUUCCUUAAGGAAGAAUUGUAUAUGAUGCAGCCGGAAGGUUUUGUCGAUCCUAAGAAUGCUGACAAGGUGUGCAAGCUCCAACGCUCGAUUUAUGGGCUGGUGCAAGCAUCUCGGAGUUGGAACAUUCGCUUUGAUGAGAUGAUCAAAGCGUUUGGGUUUACGCAGACUUAUGGAGAAGCCUGUGUUUACAAGAAAGUGAGUGGGAGCUCUGUAGCAUUUCUCAUAUUAUAUGUAGAUGGCAUACUUUUGAUGGGAAAUGAUAUAGAACUCUUGGACAGCAUAAAGGCCUACUUGAAUAAGAGUUUUUCAAUGAAGGACCUUGGAGAAGCUGCUUAUAUAUUAGGCAUCAAGAUCUACAGAUAGAUCAAGACGCCUCAUAGGUCUUUCACAAAGCACAUACCUUGAUAAGAUAUUGAAGAAGUUCAAUAUGGAUCAGUCUAAGAAGGGGUUCUUGCCUGUGUUGCAAGGUGUGAAAUUGAGCUCAGCUCAAUGUCCGACCACGGCAGAAGAUAUAGAAGAGAUGAGUGUCAUCCCCUAUGCCUCAGCCAUAGGUUCUAUUAUGUAUGCCAUGCUGUGUACCAGACCUGAUGUAAACCUUGCCGUAAGUUUGGUAGGAAGGUACCAAAGUAAUCCCGGCAAGGAACACUGGACAGCGGUCAAGAAUAUCCUGAAGUACCUGAAAAGGACUAAGGAAAUGUUUCUCGUUUAUGGAGGUGACGAAGAGCUCGUCGUAAAGGGUUACGUCGAUGCUAGCUUCGACACAGAUCUGGAUGACUCUAAGUCACAAACCGGAUACGUGUAUAUUUUGAAUGGUGGGGCAGUAAGCUGGUGCAGUUGCAAGUAGAGCGUUGUGGCGGGAUCUACAUGUGAAGCGGAGUACAUGGCAGCCUCGGAGGCAGCACAUGAAGCAAUUUGGGUGAAGGACUUCAUCACCGACCUAGGAGUCAUACCCAAUGCAUCGGGGCCGAUCAAGCUCUUCUGUGACAACACUGGAGCUAUUGCACUUGCCAAGGAGCCAGGUUUCACAAGAAGACAAGGCACAUCAAGCGUCGCUUCAAGUCCAUUCGUGAAAAUGUUCAAGAUGGAGACAUAGAUAUUUGUAAAGUACACACGGACCUGAAUGUAGCAGAUCCGUUGACUAAACCUCUCCCUAGAGCAAAACAUGAUCAACACCAGAAUUCCAUGGGUGUUCGAUUCAUCACAAUGUAACUAGAUUAUUGACUCUAGUGCAAGUGGGAGACUGUUGGAAAUAUGCCCUAGAGGCAAUAAUAAAAGCAUUAUUAUUAUAUUUCCUUGUUCAUGAUAAUUGUCUUUAUUCAUGCUAUAAUUGUGUUAUCCGGAAAUCGUAAUACAUGUGUGAAUAAUAGACACCAACAUGUCCCUAGUAAGCCUCUAGUUGACUAGCUCGUUGAUCAACAGAUAGUCAUGGUUUCCUGGCUAUGGACAUUGGAUGUCAUUGAUAACGGGAUCACAUCAUUAGGAGAAUGAUGUGAUGGACAAGACCCAAUCCUAAACAUAGCAUAAGAUCGUAUAGUUCGUUUGCUAGAGUUUUCCAAUGUCAAGUAUCCUUUCCUUAGACCAUGAGAUCGUGUAACUCCCGGAUACCGUAGGAGUGCUUUGGGUGUACCAAACGCCACAACGUAACUGGGUGACUAUAAAGGUAUACUACGGGUAUCUCCGAAAGUGUCUGUUGGGUUGACAUGGAUCAAGACUGGGAUUUGUCACUCCGUAUGACGGAGAGGUAUCACUGGGCCCACUCGGUAAUGCAUCAUCAUAAUGAGCUCAAAGUGACCAAGUGUCUGGUCACGGGAUCAUGCAUUACGGUACGAGUAAAGUGACUUGCCGGUAACGAGAUUGAACGAGGUAUUGGGAUACCGACGAUCGAAUAUCGGGCAAGUAACAUACCGAUUGACAAAGGGAAUUGUAUACGGGGUUGCUUGAAUCCUCGACAUCGUGGUUCAUCCGAUGAGAUCAUCGAGGAGCAUGUGGGAGCCAACAUGGGUAUCCAGAUCCCGCUGUUGGUUAUUGACUGGAGAGUCGUCUCGGUCAUGUCUACAUGUCUCCCGAACCCGUAGGGUCUACACACUUAAGGUUCGGUGACGCUAGGGUUGUAGGGAUAUGUAUAUGCAGUAACCCGAAUGUUGUUCGGAGUCCCAGAUGAGAUCCCGGACGUCGCGAGGAGUUCCGGAAUGGUUCGGAGGUAAAGAAUUAUAUAUAGGAAGUGCUAUUUCGGGCAUCGGGACAAGUUUCGGGGUCACCGGUAUUGUACCGGGACCACCGGAAGGGUCCCGGGGGUCCACCGGGUGGGGCCACCUGCCCCAGGGGGCACAUGGGCUGUAGGGGGUGCUCCUUGGCCUAUAUGGGCCAAGGGCACCAGCCCCAAGAGGCCCAUGCGCCUAGGGUUCAAGAAGGGAAGAGUCUCAAAGGGGGAAGGCACCUCCUAGGUGCCUUGGGGAGGAGGGAUUCCUUCCUUGGCCGCACCCCCUAGGAGAUUGGAUCUCCUAGGGCCGGCCCCCCCCCCUUGGACUCCAUAUAUAUAGUGGGGAAAGGAGGGCCUCUCAUAACACAUCUUUGGUGCCUCCCUCUCCCUCUCCAACACAUCCUCCUCCUCCAUAGUGCUUGGCGAAGCCCUGCCGGAGUACUGCAGCUCCACCACCACCACGCCGUCGUGCUGCUGCUGGAGCCAUCUUCCUCAACCUCUCCUUCCCCCUUGCUGGAUCAAGAAGAAGGAGACGUCAUGCUGACCGUACGUGUGUUGAACGCGGAGGUGCCGUCCGUUCGACGCUAGGAUCUCCGAUGAUUUGGAUCACGUCGAGUACGCCUUCCUCAUCCCUGUUCUUUGAACGCUUCCGCGCGUGAUCUACAAAGAUAUGUAGAUGCAAUCCAAUCACUCAUUGCUAGAUGAACUCCUAGAUGGAUCUUGGUGAAACCGUAGGAAAAUUUUUGUUUUCUGCAACGUUCCCCAACAUUAUGUGCCUUUACCACCGUGGCAAAAAUAAUACACCUUGCAUAGAGGAACGGAGGGAGUAUCAUUUUGGCAUAAUUUGGCAUCAACCUUUAUUAUUUUUCUAGACUACCUAUUUACUCAGCCAAGUGUCAGUUGUUGUUUUCUGCAUGUUUUUGAACUUUCAGGAACAUCAAUUUUACGGAGCUCCAAAAAUCCUUUCAAAAAACUCUAGAAAACAUUUUUCAACGAGAAGUUUCCAAAGGACUUGGGUCCCAUCUAGGACUCCACACAGCCAAGGUGCCCGCGUGGUACAACUAUGUGGCCCCCUGUGGCUUUGAAAACGUAUAUUUUUUUGUUCGCUCCAAAACCCCUAUACAUUGAGGAGUCUUUCUAUUUCCACAACCACACCUCUCUAUCUCAAAGUGAUACAAUCUAGAGGCCUUUUCCGGUGCUUUGUCGGAGGAGGAAAUCAUCUCAAUGUCUACGUCAACUUGAAGGCCACCAUGAUCGCUCGUGAGUAGUUUUCUUUGGACUAUGGAUCCAUAUCAAUAACUAGUUGGUUUUUCUCUCUAUUUCUUCUCAAUACAAAUAUCACAUGAGCUUCCCUACAUAAUUGUGAUCCAUUUAGUGUAAUUUGCUAAUGCAUUUGUUGCCAUGUGAUGAUUUUUCACUGUAUGACCAGAUCUAUCCAUUAAUUCUUUUGAGAUCAAUUUGGUUUCUUUGUUGCAUAAUUCUUACUCACAUAUGCUCACCGGUCUAUUUAUCUUUAUUUGGCCAAGUUUGAUGGAUGAUCUCCAAAAGGAAGUUGGGUUCAAUCUUGUAAGUAAUCUAUUGCAGUGAUAGGAAGUGGAAAAGGCUUGUAUUGUAUUGUAUUGUAUUGUAUUGUAUUGUAUUGUUGCCACUAGGGAUAAAAAUAUGAUUGUGUAGUUGUUCUUUUGAACGCGGGGUGAAGACAAUGUAUCAUAUACUUCGUGUCAUUAUACUUAAUGCAAUACUCUAUUUCUUUAACUUAAUACUUUGAUAUGCAUGUUAGAUAACGGUCUUGGGAUGGAGUAUUAGCUAUAGAUGCAGCAGGAUUAUGGUUUAUAGUUCUUUGGACAUGAUGGUGAUAUGCAACUAUACCAUGUAUAAUCAUACUCAUAAAAACUAUAAUUUAAUCGAUGAACAAGUGUAUUUUGUUCAUCACACCUUUCUACUUCUUUUGGAGAGAUAUCACUAGUGAACCUAUGGAUCCCGGUCCAUUCUUCUUCCUAUUGCUUUCAACCUCCAACAACGCUCUUUAAAAUUCCCUGUUUUAUUUCUUUGGAACUUUAACCUCCCAUACAUACUUGCAUUAAUCAUUGUAACUGACAAGGCUAGUAAGAUUGACAACCUUGCUAGUUUCGUUGGGGAUCAAGGCAGUUUUGUAUUUGUGUGUGUAGGUAUUGAUCAUUGGCUUCUUAGCAAACUCCUACUAAUUCAAUAAACCUUAGGGUCAUCCACUUUAAGGGAAAAUUGUUGCUUGCUAUAAAUAUUUACACUUGGGGGGUCCAACACCUUCCUAGUUGAGAAAAAGAGAUCCUGAAAACCAAAAAACCCAGGAAAGAAUUCCCAUGGUUUUCUCUUUGGACAAUUCAACACAUUAUGUCCCAGCCCAGAGCCAUCACACCCCAGUAAAGAUGGCAAUGGGUAGGGUACGGGGCGGGUAGAGCAAUACCAUACCCAUACCCGUGUAGUCAAUGUGUACAAAAUUCUACCCAUACCCGUACCCAUGGGUAUGAUACUUUACCCGUACCCAUACUCGACAGGUAACCAUACCCAUUGGGUACCUAAUGGAAAGUUCAAAUAGUACACAAGCUAUUCACAAUUUUACAUUCAUCUAUAGCACAUUUGACAAAAAAGCAUUGAUCUCAACUCAAUAACAAAUAGCCGAGUAGAUGAAAAUUAUCUCAAUUCAAAUUGACAAUUGGUAACAACUUUAACAUAGGUUCAUAAGCUCACAACACAACUUUAACAUAUGUACACUUGUGAUUGUGAAUCACGGGUAAGAUUCACAUGUCAAUAUAAAAUGGGUAGGGUAUGGUUAUAUCCAUGGGUAAAUGGCUAUACCCGUUCCCUACACAUGACUUAACGGGUAGGUGAAAGUGCGUUAUAUCGACUAGAGGGGGGGGUGAAUAGGCGAUUUUCAUGAAAGUCUUCAGAACAUAGAAGUUUUGAAGACAAACGAUAAAAUUAAACCUAUUACCAUGCAGCGGAAGGUAGACUACACUAGGCAAACCAUAGUCAAGUAUUCAAUGAAGUGAAAGCACAAAGACUAAUAGCAGCUAGGUAGUAAGGAUCAGGUAGGAAGAUAUUGUGAAGCCAAACAGAACACGCAGUCACUCAGUGAAGACAAAUGAUAGUACAAACAUACAAUGACUUCACAAGGAGUAACAGUAAGUAAAGGGAAGUGAAGAUGAAACCAGUGACUCGUUGAAGACAAUGAUUUGUUGGACCAGUUCCAGUUGCUGUGACAACUGUACGUCUAGUUGGAGCGGCUAGGUAUUUAAACCUUAGGACACACAGUCCCGGACACCCAGUCCUGAACACGCAGCUCAGGACACCCAGUCCUCACCGUAUUCUCCUUGAGCUAAGGUCACAUAGACCUCGCCCAACCACUCUGGUAAGUCUUCAAGGUAGACUCCCAAACCUUCACAGACUUCGUUCACCGGCAAUCCACAAUGUCUCUUGUAUGCUCAGAACGUGACGCCUAACCGGCUGGAGGAUGCACAGUCCUCAAGUGUAAUAAGUCUUCAGAUCACACAGACAAGAAGAUUUAAGUGAUACCCAAUUCUCUCUGGCUCUGGUGGUUAGGGCUUUAUCCUCGCAAGGAAUUCUCUCUCAAAGGCUUCGAGGUGGGUUGCUCUCAAACGACAAAAGCCGUACUAUCAAUCUGAGUAGCCAACCGUUUAUGGUUGUAGGGGGUGGGCUAUUUAUAGCCACUUGGCAACCCGACCUGAUUUGUCCGAAAUGACCCUGGGUCACUAAGGAACUGACACGUGUUCCAAUGGUCAGAUUUCAAACUCACACGGCAACUUUACUUGGGCUACAAGCAAAGCUGACUUGUCCGACUCUGGACAAGAAUCGCUCUCAUAGUCUUCACUCGAAGACAUAGGUUUUUGGUUUAGGCAUCACUUCAGUCAUUCUGACUGGUUCUCUUGGACACCACUUAACAGUACGGUGGUUCCUAUGACUCAACACAAAAGAAAAAGAACUACGACAGAUCUAAGUCUUCGAGCUCCAUAGGCUUCAUAUAGUGUCUUCUCUUGUCAUAGUCUUCAAUGUGAAUAUCUUCAUAUACCACCUUUGACUUCAAUGUCUUCAUACAUUUUUAGGGGUCAUCUCUGGUAGUAAAACCGAAUCAAUGAGGGACUUCUACCUGUGUUAUCCUGCAAUUCUCACAAACACAUUAGUCCCUCAACUAGGUUUGUCGUCAAUACUCCAAAACCAACUAGGGGUGGCACUAGAUGCACUUACAAUCUCCCCCUUUUUGGUGAUUGAUGACAAACUAGUUGAAGUUUUCAACGGGGAAUAUAAUCUGUGAAAUUUUAAAGGAUAAGGAAUUAUCUUCAUAAGUUGCAAGGGCUCCCCCUGAAGAUGUGCAUAUAAGUUAAUUUGCUUUUGGAAUGCAAAUGCACAUGGCAGGUUGUACUUGUGGAGAUCCACUUCAACUUAUGAUGACAAUCCACUAUGCAUGUGAAAGUAUAUGAAGAUAAUGACAUGCAUAAUGGAAAAUGGACGUCUGCAGAAUGAGCUAAGUGCGGAAUUUAUCGUCGCACAUGCGGAAUUUAUCUUCGCAAAACAAGGUGGCAAAUAAGUAGUAGACGAUCAUCUAGUCUAAGUGUUACAACUCAUAAGAACCAAAUGUAGCAAAAACGAGAGUUGUAAGCACGAAGCAAAAUAUAAAGCACCCGCCCAUAUGGACCCGCUUGAAGACUAUCAAUCUCAUAUGCUUCUCCCCCUUUUGUCAGUAAUGACCAAAAAGAUUUGAAGACAUAGAGCCUCUACUCGUUCCCACGAGGAGUAGGUGAAGUAGCAGGGUUGUUGGUGUUGUUUGGCGGUGCAGAAGAGCUUGGAGGUGCUGAAGGAGGUGGCGGUGAAGUAGCAUCGUCUUCUUCCUCAAUAAUUCUGGCAGUCACUGUGGCAGCAGAGGAAGAGAACUCAGAGUCUUCAAGGGAUAGAGUUCCUAGCAGCACAGCCCUUCGAGGAGGUGUGGAGUCAAACUUGAAUCUCUCAGUGAAGCCAUCCUAUUGAAGAUCAGCUUCAGAACACAUCAUCGUGAGCCCUUUCCAUGUGCGGCGACAGGUUUCAUGGGCAACGAAAGCAUUCUUGGUGGCAAGAUUUCGAGUGCGAUUAACAUCCACCAAGAGGCUUUUCAUCUGACGCUUCAACCAGUCAUGAUGCCUAUCCUGCUUCUGAUGUAGAGCCACAAGAAGCUCUCGGUCAUUGAGAACACGAGUGCGCUUCUUGGGUCUUGGAGCAGUGGCACUGUCAGUGGCUUCAGUGGAAGCAGGGUGUGGUGCACGUGUAGUGCCAGCCAAAGGAUACACCCGAGAAACUGCUUCAACUCCUUCAAUGUUCUGAGUAAAACUCUGAUGUUCUGCAUUCUGAAGACUUAGAGGUUGCUUGGCAGGCUCAGAAUAUAUGGCUUCGGUAGACAUGUCCACGUCAGGCAAGAAGAUCCGAUGAUUGCGGGCUGAGGGCUGAUACGAGAUGGCGGAGUGUAGCUUGAUCAGCCGCAUGACCCAAGGGGCGUAGAACUUCAAACCAAACAGAUCAAUGCCUGAUGCAGCAAGUUGGCGUAUGAAGAAGUCAUGUGCAUUGAAGCAUUUGCCAUGAAGUAUAUAGAAGACCAAAGUCUUCAUUGCACCCUGAAGCUUGGCAUUUGGAGAGUGCCCUUUGAUAGGCCAGAGAGUUCGCCUGAUGAUGUGAUAGAUGGUUCUUGGUAGAUACUCAAGGUCUUCAAUGAAGAACUCUGUGGGAUAAGCAGCAUCUUGGGGCAAUGGCUUCAUCAUGCUGAGCAUCUGACUCAUAUCAGGUUCUGGCCGCUGAAAGAUGCUCUCAAUAGCUUCAGUAUGCAGCUGACAGCCUUGCUCGAAGAGAUCGCCAGGAGUGGGCAAGCCAGUGAGCUCAAUGAUGUCAAAUGCAUUGGCUUCGUGAUGAACGUUGCCAGUCAUCCACUCCAGGACCCAAGUCUUCGGAUCUCUACUGUACCCUCUGAUGUGAAGUGUGGCAUAGAAUUGAAGCAGCAGCUCUUCAUUCCAAUGCUCUUCGUCAGUAAUGAACGGCAGCAGUCCAACUUUCUUGAAGCAAUCUAAAGCUUCUUCCAGAUAGGGCAGACCAGCUAUAGCUUCAACGUCAAGGCGCUUGUGUGGGAAGAUGCGACCUUGGUUGUACAGAAUGCAAGAGUAAUAGCUUCGCUGAGGAUAGCUCCAGAACCGAUCAGAUGGUAUCCUUUCCCUUGAGUAGGGGUUCCUGGAGCUAUUGAAGAACGUGUUGUCUGCCCUGAAGCCAUUGAUGUUGAAGGAGCCAGGUGCUGAUGCAGGACCUGAAAACCUUGGCUAUCUUGGGAUUGGCUUCUGGACCUGAGGCCUGUGCUCAACAUGAUAGUUGAAUUGGGGACCGGCAGCAGACUCAGGAACAGAAGUGGCGGGAUCAGUGGCUUCGCUGUCUUCUGAAGCUUUUGCUGGGGAGGGCUCCACAUUAGCUUCAUUGGUGGUUGUGGCAACCUCAUGAUUUUCAUCCUCCACUUGACUAGCUGGAGGGUCGGUCACAAGCACAUUCUCCUGGAGAACUGCUUCUUGGUGGGACAGGGGAGUGGGAUCUUGUGAGACUCCUUCUUCUGCGGCUGAUGCAGCCGGAAUGUCUUCAGCAGAGACCUGAGGCCUUGGACCUUUGCGAAGCCUGCGGAGCGCAGACGACACCUAUGAAAUUGAAGUGGGCUGGGCCUCAUAGUCUUCUUCCUCUUGUGGGCGAUCCGCCCAUGAAGCAUCCUGUGCAAUUGGCGUCAGUGGACGACCAAUGCUGAUGAGUUCACUGUUUUCAUGUUGAGGAAGGACUGCACCAUCUUCUACAUUGUCAUGUUGACCAAGGUCUUCAGCAGCGAUGGGAUCAGCUGCUGGAAUGUCUUCAGCUUCAUUAGCCUCUGUGGAAGCAGGCUCAUGAAUUGUCAGUUGUCGUUCAGCUUCAGGAUAGACCAUAGAAAUGGGUUCAACUAUCAAGGGCUCUGUGGAAGCAGCCCGAGCUUUCUUGGUCUUCCUCUUCUUCUUGGAGGGGGCAGUAGGUGAGGCUUCAGAGUGUUUCCUCUUCUUGUCUUCAGCCUCAGCAGUCCUUGUCUUCUUGAGCUCUGAAGCUGUUGACCGGCUUUUUGGCUUCGAGCCAGUCAGUCUAGUUGGGAAGACAAUCGGAACUGCUUCUUGCCUUGGUGCAUCAGGUUCAGCCGUAGCAGGCUUCUUCUCCUUCUUUGCGGCCAUCCUGGGGUCGAUGCCAUGACGCCCAAGUGCCUUGCGCUUCUCAGCCUCAUUAUAGGCUUGCACACAUCUGUCAGCCAGAGUCUUCAUGCGCUCACGCGAACCCUGAGCUUCUACACGCUUCUUCACAAAGGCUUCCUUGAGCUCGUGCAUCAUUGUCUUGAAGUUCUUCACUUCUUGCACGCUGAGCUUGGCCAUAUGCUUCUUGAACUGAGCCUUUUCAUAGUCAAUCUUCUGCUUCAGUUCAACAAUGCGCUGGGCAAUAGCAAGUUCUGAAGCAAUGGCGCCUUGGAAGGCGACACUGAGGCCAAUGGGUAGUUGCAGAUCUUCAAAGCUGAUGUUUGGCGUGUCAAACCACUCGUCAAUGAAGUUGUGGAUGAUGGUGACAUCAAAGAGAGGCAGAUCAUUGAAGAUUUCUGCUUCUUCUUUGCUCUUGAUGAGUUGCUCAAGAGCGUCAUCUGCAAGAUCUUCAUCACUUGACAGAACAAUGUCGUCAUUGCGCAGAAUGGCAGCAGCUAUUAGCUCUUUGCCAGUGUGAGACAGAGGCAUCUUGGCCUUCUGGGGCUUGGAGACGCGUGAUAAGUCUUCAGACUGCACACUGUUUUCAGGAGGUGCAGUUGCCAAUGGCUUCGCCCUUGAGAUUUUUGGUGAAGGGGCCGGCUUUGAAGCUUUUGGCUUCUUCAACUGCUUUGGCUUCGGCACUGCAGGCACGUCAUCAGACUCAGUGUCAGCUGCAGGCUCAUUCACUACAGUCCCUUGAACAAAGAUGUAGGUGAUGAGGUCUUCAAGGUUGGCGAAAGGACCGAUGACAUUGGGUUCUGCAUGUCGUGUGCCAUCUGCCCUUGGAGAUGAGGGACCAGGGUUGAAGUCUAACCCAAAAGUCUUCUUGUUCUGCUUUGCUGAGUUCUGAGCAAACUGGAAAUUGCGCUUGAACAGAUUGUCGUCACGACACCAUAGCAGUAACGACGAGUGUGCAUCAGCAGGCUGUGGUCCACGGACCAUGCAUGGAUAGAAGCCUUGAGCAAUGACUUCAUCUCUGGACCUGGGUAGAAGAUUCUUGAAUAGGAUGUUUCCCCACAGUCUCUUGAUGGCGUUUUUCUCAGCAUACUCCUAGGUCACAAAUCUGUAUUUGAACCAUUGUUCUGCCCAAUAUCUUCGAAUCCAUUGGACUCGGGUCUUGCGCUGACUGUAAUCCUCUUCAGGAUCUGUCUUGUACAUUUCUGAGAGUUCAUCUGGCAGAUCUCUGGAGGUCUCACCAUGACGCUUUCUGCCACCCUUCCUUACUGCUUUCUCUGAAGCCAUAAACUUUAACCCGAAAGGCUUCAAGACAUUCAAAGGCUUCAAAGGUUUUCGUUUGCUGGACCAACAGGAACUGGCUUCGGGAGAAUUUAUGUGAUGUUGUAAGAAUUCUGCAAAUGAAUGCAGACUAUGAGAACCAAAGGAUUCUCCCACGGACAUGUACCUGUGACAGCAUUAAGGUGCGAGGGAAGGGGAAGAGGUCAUAUGCAUUCUUAAAAGAUUUUGAAGAUAAAUCAGUUUAGAAGACAUUGACCUCAUCGUGCAAAGACAUUCACUCACAGAUAAGAAGUUGGUUCCAGAUUUGUACGAAUCCACAGAUCAAUACAAGUGAGGAAUCUAACUACUUUGUGAAGCACAAGUGAAUAUACUAGGCAUGUUAUGAGAUGCAGUAUGAGAGAGAUCUAGCUUGUGUGAACAGAAACUGCUUGUGGUAGAAAGUGACAAAUCCAUAGGAUCAAUGGUGUUGUAAAAAGAGGAAGUUUUAUUUACCACACUAAGAACUGCUAGACAGAGUGUAAGAUGAGGCCGAGCAGUUCGAUCUUCCGUGCCCUAACUUGGCGACGGAGGACACCUAUGGCGACGGCGGAGAGGACGAUGUCCGCGUUCGGCGUGAAGACGGCGUCGGAGAGGUUGCGGCAGCGAAGCGCUUCGUCGCCGACGUCGUCAGGGGCUAGCGGUGGCGCUAGGGUUCGUGCGAGGGUGGAAGAAGAGAUAAUGACCGCUGUGAGUGUGUAUUUAUAGGCACAAGGGCGGCACUGUGCUAUUACACAGGUGCCCCUGGCGAUUCGCAUCUGAGGAACAUGUGGCCAUUAUGCGGAAUUUUGGGGUUUGUUCCACGUCCCACGCACGCCUGGAUUGUCGGGUGGUCGUUCCUACUUCUCCAGAUUUCAUGUGGAGGAAUGAGCAUUGAAAACGGACUUAAUGGUUGUCUCUGUAUCUUCUGCUGACAAGGACGCAGAGAAGACAUACGACAGUUUCAAUAAAAUGCAUAUGACUUGGGGAGAUAGAGUUUGAGAUAGAAAGCAUAGAGAGGUUAGGGUCCGAUCACAUUCACUUAGUUCAAAAGAUUCAACACGAAGACAUAGCUAUAAGUGAAUGCUGUAGAGGACAGAACACUAGUGUGUGUGUAUAUAUAUAUAUAUAUAUAUAAUCAACAUAGUGAAGAUAAUCAUGAAUAUAUGUUGAGAUCGAAGCCAAACCAAAUGUGAAGACAUUGCAAGGUAACGCCAUGAGUGAAACACUUCAAGAUAGAACGUUUGGUGGUGGUGUUACCCACCGUAUAGGAAUUAUUAGACCCAGACACGGCGCGUAAUUAUCGUGGCGCUCUGAAGUCAAAUUCCACAUUAAUGUAUUCACACUUAGAAUGUAUGUCUUCAUUGAUUGAAGAUAUACUUUACUUUGUGUGUUGCACAUCUAAGUUAUCAAUAUGCAUAAGGGUUAGGAUGUGUGCCUGAUCACAAGACAUUUGAGGAUUCCAGGAUAUUUAGCUCACACCGUAACUUGCAAAACCUCUUCUCAUCCAAGGGCUUGGUGAAGAUAUCUAUCAAUUGCUCUUCAGUGUUGACGUGUAUGAUAUCAAUGUCUUCCUUCACAACAUGAUCUCUGAGAAAGUGAUGACGAAUUUCAAUGUGCUUUGUCUUUGAGUGCUGAACUGGGUUGUUGGCAAUCUUGAUGGCGCUUUCGUUGUCGCAGUAAAGUGGCACUUGCUUCAGAUGAAUGCCAUAGUACUUGAGUGUUUGCUUCAUCCACAGAAGCUGAGCGCAGCAAGAUCCAGCAGCAAUGUAUUCAGAUUCAGCAGUGGAGAGAGAUACACAGUUCUGCUUCUUUGAAGACCAACAUACAAGUGAUCAUCCCAGAAAGUGACAUGUGCCUGAUGUAGACUUGCGAUCAACUUUGUCACCAGCAUAAUCAGCAUCCGAGAAUCAGGCCACAAGGUGUUUCCUGAUUGCUAGUCCAUAUUUCUACUGAAGUUAAAAUGGACGUUGUAGCCAUCGUUGUCGCCAUCGCAGUCCUGACGCGUACUUGAGGAGGUGGCAACUUAUACUUGCCUCGCUCCCCCUCUUCUCGUCUUUGCACACUCAUCAGAGCAUGCUAUCUAGCAACCAACUCAUCUUCCAUGCAAGUCAACGCCAAGCACCUCUCCUCGUUUGUCUUCCUUUUCUCGGUGCAGCGACGCUCCUUCGCCAGUCAGAUCUCAUCCUCCCUUCGUUUGUUCUACACCACCACUUCGCCGCCAUUUAUUUUCGUCCCAUCUUCGACCUUCUUCUCACCUUUCUUGAUCCAGACCGAAUCUACCGUGACCCUGCCCAUCCAGAUGAGGUGGGUAACGACGGGAGGGGGUGAUGAUUCCCCUAUCUCUGAUCCAUCGCCGGUGGAGCAACAACUACUUGUGUGUAUGAUCUAGCGAGCACUCUAGGAUCAGAUUCGACACUUCUCAUUAUUAAUAUGAUGAAGAAAAACUUUUGCCUCCAUUAAAAAGACACGACGUGCCCACAUCGGCGAAAACAACACCAUGGUCUUCGUUCAAACGAUAAUCCAUUCAACGUGGUCAUCAACAAGUAAAAGGAAGAACAUAGAAGGUUUCAAUUAUAAGAUAAAAUAUCAAGAAAAAAUAUAUUAAAAAAAUAAAAUGUUAAUAAAAAGUGUCUUGAAAACAUUAAAAUUUCAUACAAAUAGGAAUCAUAAAAAACCGCUAUGAAAAUUCCUCUUUUCUUACAUACCCUUUUAUAUUUUUUCUUAUAGUAUGACAUCAUUGUUGCCCUAUAUGAUAACAUGUUAUUCAUGUAUCCAUCAAACAGACAUAAUACAUCCAACGUAGCCACCUAGGUAUAAAGAAGUAAACAAUUUUAGAAGGCUAUAAUGUUUUCACAAAGAAGAUGAUAUUAGUGCGUUGCCUUUGACUGACUCAUUUAAUGGUGAACAAAACCUCGAUAACUCUUUUCAAGGCCAAUCCUUCAAAAUAGGAAUGAUGCAUGUGUGUCCUUUGGAGUCUAUCGUGCAUCCCAAAACCCACAACCAUGGACGGAGCUUCCUUGUAAGCAAUGGGGUCAACUGAUCCCAAUGAAGUUAGCAAAUCCUUCACUAAUUUAAUACUAAUCAUUAUUCAUUUAUAGAUGAUGACCCCACUAAUAUAGACAUGAUCCCACUAAGUUUUUUCUAGCUUCGUCCUUUGCCCACAGCUACCACGAGAGUACAAGAGAUCAACGUAGUAGUGGUUAAGGUUUGGGCGUUUGGGUGUUGCCCACGGGAAGUACAUGGCAGACCGCUAUCGAGAAAGAGACCUCACACUUCACAUUUUUCUAGAUAUUUGUAGUUUUGUUUUAUAUACAACUUGAAAUUUACUAAAUUCACCACGAAGAGUAGAGAAUGCAUAAACUCAUCGAUGAUCACAAUUACUCUUAUGAGGUGCUUUCAAGAAGAAACAUAUAUAUAAAAAUACUAAGCUCCCCUAAAAUAAAGCUACCUGGUGGGUCAUGAGCCUUGUAGGCGGGAGGGCCUAUGAUGUCAGGCAUGUCAUACGACACUGUGGUAACCUGAUGGAUGUGCCGCACUUUAUUCUGUGAAUGGAAGGCUGAAUGUGAAGCAUCGUGCAUGCAUCCACUGAAAAGCGUCGUCUGCAUAGCAGUGUUCCUUCCCUAGAGACAUCAGGCCGGCUAUGUAUAGCACUUUCACCACCUCUUGACAUCAGAUCCAGCUAUGUAACUCCACCACCAAAAAUAAAAAAUGGUCAUCCAUCCUACCAUGGCUUAACCGCAAACAAAACAAGAAAAAUAAAAAAGAUACGUCCAGCCGAUAAACAACAAGAGCGCCAAAAAAAGCCAAUAGCAAAAUGCCCAAACAAUGGAGGCAGGCAAAUCUGAUGCAAUACAGAAAAAUGUAAGAUAUAAAUAGCUUGUGCUUAUGAAGAAAUACUAAUUAACGAAUGUCAUUAGUAAAGGGGUGUGUUCUUGAAGCAACCCCUCAAUAUGGAUAUAUAUAUACUCUUCAUAUCAAUAUAUAAAAUCGCUUGAUUCGUUCUCUCUCUCUCUCUCUUUUAACUUCAUUCUACAUUUUUUUCAUAUUUUUUGCUUUAGGUUUUCCUUUUUUACUUUUAUGAAAUAUUGUUGAACCACACACAUGCGCGCAGACACAAUUGUUUUGGAGAAAUACACGAACAUUUCUUAUUAAAAAUGCAUGAACAUUUUUUAAAAUCUCAAGAUCAAGUUUUAAAACUCAUUUUUUUCAUAUAUGUGAAUACCUAAAUGCGUGAACGUUCAAAAUAAAUAAAUACUUGAGCACAGUUUAUAACCACGUGAACAUUUUUUGAAUGCGUAGUCAUUUCUUAAAAGGAAAUAAAAGUGAAGAAAAAUAACAAACAAAAAGAAAAAGGAAACAUCUGACCAACCUAUGCUAAUGGGCCGUCCCAAUAUAUAAGGUAGCGGGCGCUAUAAAGGGUCCUAUCCGGGAUAAGUUUUGUGCUGUUGGGGCUCUAUGGCCAGCGCAAGUGUGAAUUUUCUCUAAAACACGCGUCGUAUUUAACCUUUUUUUAGAAGAGUGCUGUAUGUAACUAAACGAUGUCUUUUUUCUCACAUCUAAAACCGACCUCUAACAAACGUGGAGGACGGCACCACCUCCUAACAUAAUUUUGGAGGAGCCGGACGACGAAGCCUCAAAAUCAGAUAAAGAUCCUCUUCAAAAAAAAAUCAGAUAAAGAUGUCUCCGACGCAACUGGACUUCCACUAGAUUUUUAUAGGGGUCGGGAGGGAAAGAUAUGCUGUUUUCUAUCAGUCCCAAGCGGAUACUCCCCAGCUUUCACGGUCCGCUUACCGAAGAAGAGAUGCGGGAGGACCCAGGGCCAGAGCAAGUUGGGUUGGGGUAUAGAACCGUAAGCGCGGUGGGGGUGACAGAGGAUGUGCUCGUGCGGUUCAUAGUUGGGUAAGGAAAACCUUCUAGCUCAGUGUAACUAAAGUCCACAACCCAGAGACCAACCCUAGGGAAAAAAUUGACUCAUGACGAAGAAUGACGCGGCAAAGCGCAUGAUUGUUUCUUGUGUUACUUGAAGCCCACAAAAUGAAUUGACCCAUCUAACAAGUGGUUAUCUCCAUUCAAAAAUAAUUGACGCGGUUUUAGUUGAAUUUGUUUGAGGGGAUUUUACUUUUAGUUUUAACUAAAACCACAUCGGUUAUUUCUGACAGAGGUAAAAAAUCACAUGUCGGCGAGGCCUACUGAAUUAUGUUCUUGGUGACAAGUGUCUUGCCCAUGUAACACAUGUUUUCAGUGCUUCGACACAAGACCCACGCUGUAACCUCACUUGUCCUUCUGGGAAAAUACUCCGACAUAAUCUGAAUAAUAAUGCGACAUAGCGAGACUGGCAUAUCACUAGGAAUAUGGUCCCUGUCUGUUGUGCCAAAUACAAUUCGUGAUAAUUUGAAGCUCACAAAACGAGUCGGCGCCUCUAGCAAGUCAUUAUCAAGAAAGAGAAUCACUAGUCGACGAUGCCUGGAAAAAUUAGAUUUCCAAGAUUUCAUCCUCACUUGUUUGAGAAAUAUUCCAAUUUGGUAAUGUGGCACAUCAUUGAUAAUAGCUAGACGACGGGAUCACUGCACGAAAUGGUACCUGACCAUUCGUCUCUUCCAAAUACAAAUUUGGCACACGCGACGGCUGGACGCAUGUACCACCAUACGAGUAGCUGGUCCACGUCGGCCACUGCGAAAGGGCAGCUGAUUCCACACACUGUCUCUCCUGUCAAGCGGGCCCCACACGCCAGGCCCGCCGACGGAAGGGCCACGACGAACCAUCACGCACUAAAAGAAGAGAAGUUGCUCAAAAAGAAGAAGAAGAGAAGACAUCUAAAUCAAACAUAACAUGACGUCAUCUUAAAAAAAUGAAGCACACUAUAUAUUUCGCCGCAAGCAUCCGAAACAUGUACCACCCAUGACCAUACGAAAAUGAACCCAAACAGUUGUGAUCGACAUCCAUGAGCUGAUUUCCCAGAAAAGGCAUGCAUGGAUACACUAAAGCAAAUUUACAACUAACUUGCGGCCAUCCAUGAUUAAUCGUUCGAAUGAACUAAUUUGUGGCGAUGUGGCUGAGUGUGAGGGCAGGAAAAUCAUGUAAUGGGGGGCUUUUAUUUUGAUAUAGUAGAUUCAGCACGAAGAGUAGAGAACCCAUGCCCUCAUCGAUCAUCACAACUACUCUUAUGAGUUGUUUUCAAGAAUAUAUAUAUGACGUAGUUGUAGUGCUAGAAUGCGAAGCCCACAAAAUGAAUCGGCUCCUCUAAUGGGUCGUUAUCAAGAAAGGAAAAAGUCAUUAUCAAAAAUGAAAAUUAUAUGCCGGUGAGGCCAGCUAAAUCCAGCUAAAUUAGAUUUCUUGGUGAAAAGCGGCUUGCACAUGGACCACAUGUUUACAGUGUUUUUGAUACACAAGAUCUCAGAUGUAACCUCACUUGUCUUUUUGGGAAAAUACUCUGACAUAAUCCGAAUAAUUAUGUGGCAUGAUGAGACAUAUCACUGGAAAAAUGGUCCACAUCCACCUGCGCUAAAUACAAAUGUGUGAUAAUGUUAAGUUGCAAAAAUGGGCCGACACCUGUACCAAGUCAUAAUCAACAACAAUAAUCAGAUGUCGGCGAUGCGAUGCCUGUAAAAUUUUCUUUUUAUAACAAAAAAUAACUCCAAGGAGCCAGCGCGCACCGAAGAGAAAGACGCGUGGAGGAAAGUUAAAAGGAAAAGGGAAAAGGUUAAAAAAAAAAGGAAGACAGCGACGGAUCGAUCGGGAGCGAGCGAAGCGAACAAAAGCGCCCCACGGACCUCGCCGUCCUUCUCCAUGCCCUAGCGCGCACAGCACGGCACAGCCCACNNNNNNNNNNNNNNNNNNNNNNNNNNNNNNNNNNNNNNNNNNNNNNNNNNNNNNNNNNNNNNNNNNNNNNNNNNNNNNNNNNNNNNNNNNNNNNNNNNNNNNNNNNNNNNNNNNNNNNNNNNNNNNNNNNNNNNNNNNNNNNNNNNNNNNNNNNNNNNNNNNNNNNNNNNNNNNNNNNNNNNNNNNNNNNNNNNNNNNNNNNNNNNNNNNNNNNNNNNNNNNNNNNNNNNNNNNNNNNNNNNNNNNNNNNNNNNNNNNNNNNNNNNNNNNNNNNNNNNNNNNNNNNNNNNNNNNNNNNNNNNNNNNNNNNNNNNNNNNNNGAUCUGAAUUUCUGCACGGGCGGUCUCCCACGAGGAGUGGGGUGUCGCGGUCGCGCCGACGGUGUCGGGAUCGGCGGCCCGCCAAUCGCCGCGGCGGGGGAGUGGUCCGCGUUUCUCCGCUGAUUCGGCCUCCGCCGCUGGCAGAUCUGUUCGGAAGCGUGCGUGUGGGGUUCGGUCUAGAGGUCUGAUCGAGGUUCUGCCCGUGCCGCGGGGGUUGGUCGGGGGAUUCAGAAUCGUCGAUGCCGAAUUUUGCUAUGGCGAAUCUGCACCUCUGACGGGAUCUGCGGGUGCUGCUGGAUUCUGUUGUAAGAGCGCCCACCUUAAGGUGGUUGCAGUUGCGUUUAAUUGUUAGGUCUCCUUCGAGCCCUCGCCGAGUAAGAGUUAUGUAGAGUGUAGUUGUGCUUGCUGCGAGCCGUUUGAUGAUGUUGACUUGGAUUAUUUGCGCCAAGAGGAGGUGUUGCGCCUUUAUUAUUACUCCCUCCGUUCCAAAAUAGAUGACUCAACUUUGUACUAACUUUAUACUACAGUUAGUACAAAGUUGAGUCAUCUAUUUUGGAACGGAGGGAGUAUUAUGUUACUGCAUUACUGGGAAAAUUACCCUUGCCUUUUAUGGACGAAUAGGAUAAUUGAUGGAAACGUCAAUUACCUUUUAACGACUUUUUUACCUGCUGUACCCGCCACAUGCCGACAUUUUUGACAUCUUGUACACGCAGGAGUAUGAUUAACUACCACUAGAAUUGCGUAGGUCUUGACAAAGUUACGUCUCAUUUCUGCAGGUCUUUGUUUGCUGCCCUCCAACACUGUGCUGUGCAAUAACCUCUUGAUAACAUACCAAGUCAAGAGGUAAUCAUGGCCGAUUCCAUGGCGGAUUCGAUGGUGGCGAGCUUCUGGGGGCCGGUUACAUCAACCACUGAGCUGUGCGAGGAGAACUAUGCGCGCUCGUCAUACAUUGCAGAGUUCUACAAUACUCUCUCUAAUGCCCCGUGCAUUCUUUUGGCGCUUAUUGGGCUUGUGAAUGCUCUCCGCCAGCGUUUCGAGAAGCGCUUCAGCGUCCUGCACAUAUCCAAUAUGAUACUUUCCAUUGGGAGUAUCAUCUUCCAUGCAACCUUGCAACAUGUGUAAGUUUUUAGUUAACUGUACUGGUAUUCUUGGUUGGUAUUAAUUGUAAUCAUGCAAUUCUGGGAGUUAGCCCUUUUGCUUGUUGAAUGUUGUUCUUUCCUACUACGCGCAUCUUGCAAAUUGUGCACACAAUGAUUGAGUGGGUUUUGGUUACAACAUUUUAUCUCAUGUGGUAGAAACUAGGGUAAUUUCCUCUUUCUUUUUUAUUAGUUAUGGCUUUGCUUCAAAACAUCAAAGUUAAAAUUUAAGCUCCCUACCAUUUUGAGGAGAAAAAAGCUCUACAACGCCAGUUGUUAAUUUGCUCAGAGGUGGUUUCUUCCUUCACCGUGACCAUUUUCAUUAUCUUUUUGGCUGAUUUUCUCUCUACAGUGGUUACAGCUUAGUAAGUGAACAUGAUGUAGUAUUGGCGACUAUAAAUUGUUGAAAUACAGAGAACGUAUCAUUAUUUGUAGAUCUGAGUUUGUUAGGUACUAUCUCCCAUGACACACCUUUUACAUUUAGCGACUCGAGCUUGCAUUUGAUUGAGAGUUUCGGAUUACAGAAAAUAAAUGCACCUUUUAUGAACCUAUAUUUACUGCCAUUUGAAUCAUUUGCAGAAGAUAUUUUGUUAACAUGAAUUUGUGUUAAGUUUGUAUUAGUACUAUAAUAUAUUGCGCCCUGCUAUUGUGAUUGUUAUCUUGCCGUUCUUGACCUGAAUUUUUCUUUGAUCUCGCUGCUGUGGAUAUUCAAAGAAGUGCAUUUUACUUCCGCUGACUAUUGCUUACAACAGUGUUGUUAUUAUCCGUUGCACAAAGCCAAAAGCCAUAAACAAUACAUUCUUUGUUACUUCUAUGUGAUUCUGUUAGAGCACCUUGUAAAUUUUUGGUGAACGUUCCCUUUAAUAAUUUGAAAAUUUCCCUACUCUGAGAAGUUACAAAAAUACAGGCAAAUUACAAACAAAACAGGACCGUCUUUAUAGGUCGAAAACUUGGGUACAGAAGGUUGCAUUGAUAAAUUACAAGCCACAUUAGAUUGUUUUCUCCAUUGAGUCUUGCUUUCAAAACUCUAUGCUUAUUUGAUGUGAUGCACUGAUGAGUGAAUAUGCACUUGCGCACCCCAACGAGUGAUUUAUUUGGAAUGUUUUGAAUUAAAAAUUGGGCAUGUUUGUACUUAUGCCCUGGCUGACCAUCAACAACUGGUGCAGCUGUUCAUUGCUGAAAUGGUGUCUGUGUUAAAUGGUUUUCUUAUGUUUAUGACAAAAUUUCAGUAGUUACAGGCGCUCACUAUUUGCCACUCCUGUUGGUCCUUCAAAAAAUGCAUUAGGGUAAUCUAGCUGCCUUUUGGUUGGCAAAUUAGUAAAUUGGAAGUCUCCCGGAUAAAGCAACUUACGUGUUUUGGUGGACACACGAGGCCCCUCCCAAUGCUCCACCUUGUACAGGUGCUAAGGCUGCCAUGUAGGCUAAAAGUCUGAUGUGGCAAGGUAAUUAAGAGGAGAGAGGUGAGUGGUGACCCCAGGAAGAAACAAUGCGAAGCGCGAGAACCUAGGCAAAACAUUUAAAUGGAAGAAUCCCACCAAUACAUGAAGAACUUUAGUUGCAAAAUUAUUAAAUGAAGGAUGCUUAGCACCAACAAGUUAAGCACCUAUGCAUUGGGGGCUUUAGUUGCUAAAGUUUUUAAUGUGCUUAGCACCUCAUGUAAGCACCAAUGCAUUGGAAGUAGCCUGAUGCACAUCAUUAGUUACCACUUACCUCCUUAACAACUGUCUGUGCUGCAUGUACUUUGAAUUAUAAAUACCAUAUCCGUUACAUCACAAUCACAAUCAGUGAGUUGCUUCAAGUACUAUGUAGAGGGGAUGCAUUCCUGUAAUUAAGACCAUGAUGUGCAAGUUAAAAUUCAUUCUCUCUUAAUCUGUUGAGUAAAGGCUGUGCAUUUGAGUCCUCAUGGAUCAUCACAGGCAUUUUCUUGGUGUGCUUCUCAGUUUCAGCAUGUCUAACUAAAGCCAAAUUCUUCAUAUUAUUUUCUUUCUUUUUUGCUUUACUGCAUGCAAUAUAUAAUAUAAUAUAUUGAUUUGUGUUGGCCAUAUUUCGUUUUCCAGCUUACAGCAGAGUGAUGAGACUCCAAUGGUGUGGGAAAUCCUCCUAUAUCUGUAUGUCCUUUAUUCACCAGACUGGCAUUACAGGAGCACCAUGCCUACUUUCCUUGUCCUAUACGGUGCUGCAUUUGCUGUAGUUCACUUCUUCGUGCGAUUCCAAGUAGUAUUCAAGUUGCAUUACAUUGGCCUCUGCCUUCUCUGCAUCCCGCGGAUGUACAAGUACUACAUUCAGACGAAAGACCUGGCUGCCAAGAGGCUCGCGAAGCUGUGGGUUCUUACCAUAUUCCUGGCGACAGUUUGCUGGCUAGUUGAUCGCAUCUUCUGUAAGAAGCUCUCGCUCUGGGUCAUCAACCCGCAGGGACACGCAUGGUGGCAUGUGCUUAUGGGCUUCAACUCUUACUUUGCAAACACAUUCUUGAUGUUCUGCCGAGCUCAGCAGCGUGGGUGGGAGCCGCGCAUUAUCCACCUCUUUGGAUUUUUGCCUUAUGUCAAGAUUCAGAAAUCCAGAAAGAGGGAGUAAGUCAUCUGUCGAGUCGAUCAGCGGUGUUCUGCAGGACCAGAAAUCUAAUGUCCACCAAGCGCGCAAAAAAACAAGCGGUGGCAUUUUUUGUAAAUGGGCUUCCAAGUGAUUACGGACUACAAAUGAAUGUCAGUCAGUGAUGUCUCGAUUGAUUUUGGUAACUUUUAACUAACGCCCUGUUUUGUACCAUACUCGAUUUCAACCAGAGAUUAGCUGGAGUGCCCGUCUCUUACUUUCAAUCUGCAGCAGUUUGUCUUUGCGAACUUAUAGGACUUCUUAUUUUUAUUCUUUGAAUUUGACUUGAAAUGGGAUUGAAUUGUAUUAGUUUAACUUACUGCUGGGGUUGGAUGGUGUCAGAUUCAUGUUCGUGGUAACAGUUGAUUCUUUCGUUAAUCGAUGCUAUUUGUGAACUAGUGCCUGGAGGCUGGUGUGUAUUACGUUUGAUCUUUGUGCACCAGCUGAUUGUGGAAGCAUGGCUAUGAGUCUUAGAGCAAUUUUAUUUUCCUAAUUGUUCAUUGAACUUGCUCACACAAGCAAAAGGGUAGCCAUCAAGGUGCUGAAAGUUGAAAAUGAAGGUUGAAACGCACACAUUUCUGCUCGCCAUUGGUUUUCUCCCGGUUUUUUGAAUUAACUGGGCGAUUCUCUUCUUAAUUAAUUUGAUUGAUGGGGCAACACUUUCGCCUCCGUUUAGGAGAAGAAAAUUCUGCUCAUCGUGUCAUCAUCCUAUACCAUGCUUCUGGCCUGUGCACGUCAUGCCUGUACUUGUCUAGUGAUAGUCUUGAUGGAAUGAUGGGGACCCUUGACUGCCAAUGUCGAAUCAAUGCUUCAGCCCAUGAGCCAUGUCUAUGAGGCUGCCGACUAGGAAGGAGUGGAAAUCGACACAGUAGUUAGUUUUGGGGACAGGGAUUGAUGUAAAGGGGAUCGUAAGGGCAACUCCAAACGGGAGUCGCCAAAUGUCUCAACCAGCGUGUUCGGACAUUUUUUGCCAUCCACCGGCAGUCAUCAAAUAUCUGUAAACUAACCCGAACGUUUGAAAUCACACAAACAGCCCCCAAACUUAUAGGUGGCUGUGCCUAAGACCAACGACAAAGCGCUCUGAACUUAGGGAAGGAUUGGGGGAGUCCGGACACACGAACUCAGCCUUGAACCCAUCAUAAAUUCAUUUUGUAUCUUUCUUUUCUCUGAUCUUUGCAUUGGACAAGGGACGGGUAUUUGUAAAUGCUAACCUGGACGUUUGAAAUCCCACCAACAGCCCCCAAACUUAGAGGAGGUUUGGGGGAGUUCGAACACGCUAACCCGGCCUUGGACCAACCACAAAUCGCCCCUAAACUUAGGGGAGGGUUGAGGGAGUCCAGACACACAAACUCAACCUUGACCCCAUCAUAAAUUAAUCGUUUGUCUUUCUUUUCUAUGAUCUCUACAUUGGACAAGGGGCGGAUAUUUGUUGGAUGGCCGGCGCCCUGGAGUGCCAAUGUCGACUUCAAUCCAUGAGGCUGCCGACUACGUAGGAAGGAGUGGAGAUCGACAUGGUACUUAGUUUGGGGGGAAUGCAUUGAUGGCAAAGGGGAUUGUAAGGGCAACUCGAAACGGGAGUCAUCAAAUCGUCAAAUGUCUGAACAGGCGUGUUCAGGCAUUUUUUUGCCAUCCACCGGCAAUCAUCAAAUAUCUGUAAACUAGCUUGGACAUUUGAAAUCCCACAAAUAGCUCCCAAACUUAAGAGGAGGUUUGGGGGAGUCCGAACACGCUAACUCAGCCUCAGACCAACCACAAAACGCCCCGAACUUAUGGAAGGGUCGGGGGAGUCCGAACACACGAACUCAGCCUUGAAUCCAUCAUAAACUCAUUUUCCAUCUUUCUUUUCUGUGAUCUCUGCAUCGGACAAGGGACGGAUAUUUGUUGGAAGGCCGGCACCACCAUCACUGUCCGCAAACACAUCCGGACAUUCGAGGAGGUUCGUUUUGGUGACCUCCCUUGGAGAAAAAGUACGUUCCAAACAAUAUUCUACAUCUAGAACCGCCCCACUGUCAAAAACUGGUGCAAUAAUAAGAAUCAUAUCGCGGCUACGCGUCCUCCGAAUGCCGGCACGAAUUCGAAUCAAGAUCUAGGGUGAAAACGGGGAUAAGAUUCCACGAUCUCCACACUGACUAGUCGGCGCAUUAUCUCGCUCACACUUGGCCAAUAAAAAUGCACCCACCACCCCUGAAAUUCCAUCUAUCUACCAGUCAAGAAACAAAACCCUGGUUGCAUCGACCACCAGUCACAAGAAAUUCAGGAGCACUUGAGAUGAACCAAGAUUCGACAGCGAAAAAAAUAAACCGAAACGAUUUCACAUUAUUAUCAUUGCAAUUAUCAUCCAUGAACAAUAGAGGAAUCAACAACAUCUUCUGACCAAAAACAAGGCCAUGGUGUAAAUCCUCUCACAAAUCAUGUUGAAGGAAGAAUUAGAAUUAAAACAUAUUUGGGGACCUGGAACUAUAGCAUGCCCGGGUAACCAUUUAUACCCCGUCAGUACAUCAAGUAUCCAUGUCAUCACAACAAUAAACAAAAUAAACAGCAACCACCAAGGUAAAAAAAGAGGAAAGAAUUCUGGCAUGGCACAUGAGCCUUCUUCUUUUAAAAUUUAAUAUAACAGGGUUAAUUAACAGAAUAGACAACUAAAUCUUUUCUGGCUGAUGAGAUGAACUGAAGCUGCCGGGGUGCGAUUCUCUCUACCUCCGUUCGGCCCCAAACUGAGGUAGGUAACUCCACUCUUUAAUUUAACCUCCUACUGGAAAUGGAAACUCAAUAGUUGUGUAUUGAUUUACCUCCCAAAAAUUAACGAAAACCAAUCCCUGAAUCACCGCCUUCAGCUAUCCAUCCAUCCUUUUCGCUUGCUUGCUUGCUUGCUGACUGACCACCGCAAUGAACAGAAAAUCAAAAAAAUACUUGCAAUUCUUCUUUAGCUAACAAUGGUAACUUCUUCUCGCACCUCCCCCCCGGGCUCGUCUGGUUGUUCGUCUAUGUUGCUGCUAGACUACCAAUCUGCUCGUCAAGCUGCAUCUGCUCGAGCAGCGCUCCAAUAACCGCGGCUUGGUCAUGUCGGUUCAGCUGCGUGCUCACACUGGGGCCUUCACCAUUACUUACACCGGGAUGCAUUUGAGGUGAAGGUCUAACAGAGUUGUUGAUGGAUUCAGCUGUGGUCACUUGCUUCUCUGGUGGAGACUCCUUGACCAGUGUGUGCACCCAGGAGAGAUCUGGGUCGUCGCCGCCUGAUCUCAGCUCAAAGGAAGAUGACCGGCGAAGCUUACCCAAUUCUUCACCGUUGACGCCCCAAUCCGGUGCCCCUGAAGGAGAUCCCCACUUGGACCAUGAUGAGCUCAGAGGAGAGCCAACAGCAGCCGAUGCUCUUGCAGCACUGGGCCCGAGAUCGCGAGAACUGAGGCUCCUCAUUGUCUGCUGGUGCUGUUGGUGCUGCUGCUGCUGUUGCUUCUCACGCUGGGCAAGGGCGGCAGCUAGGUGGGAGUUCAUCGGUGACCCAGAUUCGACGCAGCGGGGGGACAUCCGGCCAGGGGAGGAUAUCCCAAGUGAUGCUUGCAGGAGGGAUGAGCGUGAAUGCAUCUGCUGGUUAUCCACAGCCUUUGGCGAGAACCCUGUGUUGAUUGGUGAAAGAAGUUGCUGCUGUUGCUGGAACUGGUUAAGGAUAGCAGCCUUCUGGGAAGGUGAAAACAUAGCACCCUGAUCAGCAUUGUUGUACCUCGGGGACGAGACCAUCUCGGCAGAGAAGAGAUCAUCCAGGUUUGAAGGGUUCAGACUCUUGGUCCGAGAACUGUGGUUCCCUCCUGCUGAUGAACCAAGACGCGAGUAGCACAGAUCGUUUAUAAGCUGGGAAUCAAUAUCCUGCAACAGGGAGUAGUCAUCCACAGGCAUAUCCCUUGCAUUGAGUGAGCUUCGGAGUCUGCUCGACUGAAGGCUGCUGCCCGGAAGGUGUAGCGUCGGAACAUUUGGCUGCUGCCAGCCCAGAGAAGGGGGCAUCCCAUUGCCAGAAGGAGACCUCGGUGGGGUAAAUGGGGACAUGACUACCGAGACCGAUGACGGAGAACCGGGCAUCAAGCCCAUUGCUGCUGCCAUCUCCAUUGCAGCUGUUGCUGAGGCCCUAGGGGAUGGCACCGCAGACCCAGUGGAGACAUACAGCGGGCGGAGCUCAUCGGUGGUGUGCGCAAAGAAACAGACGCGGCGAUUGCAGCCGGUGCCAUCCUUGCAAAGGCGAGUGCGGUAUUGCGCUGGGUGGAGCCAGCACUCAAACACCCCAUGAGCAUACUCACACAUGUCUCCACGCCGGCACACACCCUUUCUGAAGUCAGGGCAUGGAACACAACUGUAGUGAUACUUGCGCGGAUCGCGGCGCCGAGCGUUCUCCCCAGGGUGCACAAAGGGGCACUCGGUCCAGUCAUGCGAGUAUGCCCGGGAGCACGGCCUGAUCUUGAAGGAGUACAUGCGGAACUCAUCAGAGGCAUAGAUGCUGUUCUUGAUAUCCGGCAGGGAUGGAUCCACUGGGUAUUCCUUCUUCUCUGAGGUUGCAACCCUCGGCAGGUCUGGGAACUUUGACAUCAUCAUCACAGCAGCUGAUGGAGACCGGGCGUCCUCGGCGGUGGGUGAUGACACCGGCGACGAGGUCAGGUUUGUGGCCCUGGUCACCACCCGGAGCACGCCAUGCCCAGACUUUGGGAGCCCAAGCAGAUCUUGGAGGGCGAUCUUCGCAUCAAUCAUCUUUGGCGGCACAGAGAUCACAUCGGCCGGACGGCACCCGGACGCAUCUGCGGCAUCGGCGUCAGCCCCGGCCACCAGAAGCAGCCUGACGGCCUCGACGGCCGAGGACGAGCCGCCAGAGGCGGCGCAGUGGAGGGCGGUGGUGCCGUCGGGGCCGCAGCGGCGGUUGACGUCGACGGAGGGGACGGACAGCAGCAGGCGGAGCGCGGCGAGGCUGCCGUAGGUGGCGGCGACCAUGAGCGGGGUGCGCUGCUCGAGGGCCUUCCGGCGGCCGUACCAGAGGCCGGCCUCGUCCGCGGCGGCGGGGGGCGCGCGCUCCAGCGCGCGGCGCAGGCCGUCCGCGUCGUCGUCGGCGGCGAGCUCGAGGAGGCCGGCGAAGGCGUCGUCCGUGUCGACGGUGAGGUGCCUGGCCAUCUCGGCGACCGCAUUCUUCUUGGGCGUCGUCGCGGCGUCGGCGCCGGCCGCCGCGGGGAUCGGCGCGCCGUUCAUCUUCUUGGCUCGCCGGAUCGAAGCGACUGAACCAAAAAAACAUGAGUCAAGAAGCCAGUCAAGCGAGGUCCGAAAUAGCACGGCGAGAUGGACUGGAAACCUGCCGAAUCGGACGCGAAAUACAACGGGAAAGGGAGGAAAAACCGAGGCUACAAAAAUGGAAGCGCGGCGACCGAAUCCACGGAAAGAUCUCCGGGGAAGCAAAAACCAAUCUUUGGCUAGAUCAGGAGCCCGUCAAAGCUCGGGCCCUCGGCCGGAGCCGCCACCCGGCAGAUCGGAGCGAGGAGAGGGGGACGGAGCGGAGCCUGACCUGUGCACGGCGGCAGCUUGUGGCGCGGCGGACCAUGUCAGUAGCACGCCAUGGGCGACGUCGCCGGCGGAAAGAUCCCGGAAAUCUCCACGGAGAGCCGAAUCUGGGGAGAGCGGGAGGGCGUGGUGGUGGGUGGAAGCGGCCGGCCGGCGCGGUGUUCAGGGCAAAGAUUUGGGGGCGAUCUAUCUACUAUCCCCUAUCCGGUUCGCGAUUGAUGGGGGAAGAAGAAGCGGAAGCAUGGGGUGUGUGCGGGGAGGAGAGAGAGAGANNNNNNNNNNNNNNNNNNNNNNNNNNNNNNNNNNNNNNNNNNNNNNNNNNNNNNNNNNNNNNNNNNNNNNNNNNNNNNNNNNNNNNNNNNNNNNNNNNNNNNNNNNNNNNNNNNNNNNNNNNNNNNNNNNNNNNNNNNNNNNNNNNNNNNNNNNNNNNNNNNNNNNNNNNNNNNNNNNNNNNNNNNNNNNNNNNNNNNNNNNNNNNNNNNNNNNNNNNNNNNNNNNNNNNNNNNNNNNNNNNNNNNNNNNNNNNNNNNNNNNNNNNNNNNNNNNNNNNNNNNNNNNNNNNNNNNNNNNNNNNNNNNNNNNNNNNNNNNNNNNNNNNNNNNNNNNNNNNNNNNNNNNNNNNNNNNNNNNNNNNNNNNNNNNNNNNNNNNNNNNAAAUGGAUAAUUUGGUUGUGCUGCCUAGUGUUGAGUGUGUGCACAAGUAGUAGUUGCUUGGUUUAGCAAAAACACAUAUCAUGUCUUAGCUAAAACAUCAUUUGCUUUGUUUAUGAUUUGGUCUGUGUAGCUCUAUGCUAAGCUUAUUACUCAUUUUGAAAUAAGACUUUGGGAAACUCUGACAUAAGUACUCGGUAACAAUAACAUAAGGCAAUAUAUGGCGCGCCAGGCGUGGCCCUAUGCGGAAUUCUUUCCUUUAAUGUAGACUCGCCAAAAUGAUGUGUAUGCCUGCCUCCCACAAUUUGACAGCUCUAUAGUAUGUCGUGUGCCUGAAGGCGCAAAGCAAAACAAAACUUGCAAUAGCUUUCUCUGUGACAUGAUUACAGCAAGAAUCAUGCGACCGGCGCCAUCCCAGGCGACCCCCACGUUUCCAUAACCGGCGCCAUCCCACACGUACGGCACGGCAGCGCGAGUGCGGGCGGUGCGGUGCGGGGCGUCCCUGUCUGUCGCGUCGCGCCUUCCUUCUCGAAACUCACGUCGCCCCGCUUGUCGGCACCGCACCGUCUCGUCGGCUUGCGCUGCGCCGCGACGCCUUUUCCACCGGACGUCCACGUCCACGUCCGUGUCCCCUGUGACAAUGGGCGUGACGUCGCGCCAGGGGCGAGCGAGCGACUCGUUCGGUUGGUGCGUGGCGGCACCCGGGGACAAGGAGGAGCCGACCGAGCUCUCUUCCGGCCGCGGACCGGCGCGCCCGGCAGCCGGGGAAAAAAAUUAUAUGAGACCAGGUCUCAUGGUUAGUAGGUGAGACCCGUCCUGAUGGAUGAUACGUGGUUAGCAGGUGAGACCCGUCGUAUGGAAAAGCAUCUAAUCUCUUUUCCCCCUAUUUUAAAUGGGGGAAUGGGGGAUGCUUUGUGGUUUUGUGAAUGGUACGUGUCAACCAUCAGAAUGGGCCUCGCGUGAGACCUGGUCUCAUAGAAUUCUUUUCCGGCAGCCGGUGGCGAUGUUUCGAGCCACGGUGCCGGAGCAUGCAGCGGCAGUGGCGACUGACGGACCUGUUUCCAGCCAUUGUCGAGGGACCGUGAGGCCUUAUACAAUGCUAGGUGAUUAGAGAGAUGCUUAAAAAAAUAAACCAGGUUUUCUAAAGCAUCGGUGCCUAUUUCUACACGAGAGACGCCUAAUUAAGCGUCUACCCUGUGUAAAUAAGCACCGGUGCUUAAGAAAAGCCUGAUUUAUUUUUUCAAACGUCUUUUCUAAACACCUUUGCAUUGUACAAGGCCUAAGGCCAACUCCACCGCACAACCCCAAACAAACGUUCGAUUUGGCCGAAUUUUGUUUCUUUGUGGCAAUAAUGGAUUCGCCCAUGUCCGUGUCUGUUCGUUGGAUCGUGGGUGCGUCCAAGCGUGGCCGCACCCCAAAUCAUGUAUGUGUUGGACGUGAUUAAAAAACAGAAAAACUAAAAUAAAAUGAUUAAGAAAAGUAAAUAAACGCAGUUAAAAAAACUUAAAACAUAAGUUCGGGUUCACGGCCACAAAACGGCCCAGUUUCACGGUUCACAUUGCCAUAAUUAACAUAAAAAAUAAAAUAAGAACGGCCGCCGCCCGCGCGCUCCUGCCGUGCCUGUCAAUGCCGUCGCCGUUGCUGUCUUUAGUGGCCACCGGUGUCGUCAUCGUCGCUGACGAGGCCGAGCUACUUAGGCGGCGUCCAGAGGUGGGCCGGCGGAGCGUGGUGGACGGGGGUGGGCUGGAAGGCGGGAGGUGCCUGCACCACCUCCUCCCGUGGCGACGCGUCCCGCUCCGGUGACCGCGGCGGCGUGGGGCACCAGUUCGCGACCCCACGGCGUCGGCCAUCUCCGGAGCCAAGCACAACCAGCUCCAGUGCUGCCCAACCAGGGCCGGGUGGAACGCGGUCACCAACUCCUCCUCCGCCCUCGCCAUAUCCAGCACGGGGAUGGCGACGUCGCCGACCGCAGAUAGGGCCAUCGUCUCCUCGAGGCCCGGCCAUUGGCGCUCAUCGUGCGUGUUCAUGGAGUCCUCCGUGACACAUUGCAUGAGCCGGGCCUCCUCCUCCGCAGUCAUGCGAGGAGGUGAAGGUGGCGACGAAGAUGGGGACGGCGACGGCGUGGGCGUGAGGCCGCGCACCCGCGUACGCCCGCGCACCUCCCGAUGUGGCCGCCGCGGCCCCGACAUCGUGUCGUCGAAGUAGGAAGCGCGCCGCACGUCGUGCUCGUCCUGAAGCCACGUUUCCCAGAGCCCGGAGUCGGGGGCGUACCUUUCGUCGUAGUAGAGGUCGUCGGGGAGGAGACGGCGUCGGUGCGUGAUCUCAUCGUGGCGCGCACGCCCGCUCAUCGGUGCCGGCGGGAUUGGGACCCGGUCGGCGGAGAGGUGCCAGUUGUUGGGCAGGUGGACGUCGCUCCACAUGACCGGCGUCCGCGUCUCCCAAUAACGUCGGCAUACGUCCAUGCCCAGCUACUGCCGGUCGCGCUCGCCGGCGGCCCUAGGGGCGAUGCUGAACGGGGCAGGCGCGGGGGCCCUACGCGGCGGCGAAGCGACUUCCUCUUUCACGGAGCCGCGGCGGCACCCCGAGGAGGAGCUGGCCUCGCAGUCGUGCUUCCUUUUGCGGCCGUGGUUCCAGAACCCCAUGGCUGCGAGGCGGCCGGCCGACGAGCUCGAGGACGGGGAGAGGCUAGGAUUUUAGGGGUGACGGGUUUCGAGGAGGCAGCUGGCUGGAAGUGGAAGUGUAGACGACGACGACCGGUCCACGGCCUCCCCAUUUAAGAAGGACGAUGACUGUGCGCCUGGGCGGAUGACAGGUAGGGCCGAUCACGCAUGCGCAUUGAUGUGGGAGGGUGGGAGGUAGGUGGUCGUCUGUCACGCAGCCCCGUCGCGGACGAGCAUCGCGUCCGUUUGCUGUCCGCCGUGACCCAAACUGGACGCAUGUUUGCGCUCAAAAUGGGUCGGCGCGGACACAAAACGGAUCAGAUGGGUCCAGGCCGUCACGCGCUAGGCCGUCUGAUUUGUCCCUUUUACCCCAAACGGACGGGACCGAACGGGAUGGCGUCGCGCGGUGGAAUUGGCCUAAGAGCAUCUCCAGCCGCGCCCCAAGAAGGCCCCCCGGGCGAUUUUUCGGCCGCCGGCGAUGAAAAAUCGGCCCAUUCGUGCCCCCAAAGGCCCUUUUUUCGCCGGCUCGGGUCGAAAUUGACGCUGGCCGACCCAGGCCGAACCCGACGCGCUGGGGGACGCCAGCCGAAACAUUUUUGGCGCAAAAAUCGGUGGACCCUCCUUGGCAGCGACUCGGCUCUUCUCGCCGCUUCGUCGCCCUCAUCGCCUCGGUCCCCGUGGCGGAAUUGAUGCCAAAGCUGCCGAGCCGGUCAGCCUCCUCCAUUGAUGCCUCACAGGCGGCGCAGUGAAGACGGGACGACGCGUGUCCCUCGCCCGCCACGCGUACGCGCGGCGCAUACGCCUACGUAGGUGACUGGUUCGUUGGUGCGUGGCCGUGGCGGCACCCGAGGACAAGCAGGAGCCGACCGAGCUCUCUUCCGGCCGCGGACCGGCGCGCGCCCGGCAGUUGGUGGCGAGGUUUCGAGCCAUCGUCAAGGGACCGUAACGCCGUAGUCUUCUCCACCUACGCCGGUGCAAAUUGCACUCGUGCGGUCUCGACCACUCCGUGCGACAGACUCACAGCGCAGACGCGUUCGGGUUAGCUGCACAUCAGGGCAUCUCCAACGUUUUUUUAAACACAGUACAGACACAAGCGCUCGUAUACACGCACGCACACUCACCCCUAUGAACGCACAGGGCAUCUCCAACGUUGAACCAUCAAAACGCCCGUAAAUGCUUAGGUCGGGCUGUGCCGUCCGAGCAUUUUUACGAUUUUGACAUGGAUCACCGAAUCGUGUCAGACCGUUCGGACGUCCGAAAUCUUGUAACGUAAGUCGGGUCUACAUCAAGGGUGCUCUUUCGAAGAAGUCAUCGUCUCUUCAUAGGAUUUUGUUGGUCGAAGUAUCGGUGCACGCGCCUGUUUCGUCCGGCUUUAUAUCGGCAUCACUCUUCACAAGUCUAUUAUUUUGAAGACUGGUUUUUCUUCUUCGAAAAGCCGGUCUCCGCAUCAGGGUAAUGCAUAAAUUUAUUUUAUUAAUUAUUCGUCAAGACCUUAUAAAGUUGGGUGUGCCUAGGUCUAAGUCAAGUCUCAGCCAAAUGACAUAGUAUAUAAUAAUAAGAAGAAAAAUAAAAUAAACAAUUGUAUGAAUCUCCAUGCAAGAUCAAGGGGGAUAUAGCAUCGACUGAGACAUAACGAAGACUCGGUCGACCGAGACUUAACAAAACUGCACAAAGUAAUACAUCAAUAAGUCUAAAGCCAACCGGGGAGCAGUUGGGGGCUCCGGCGCAAGGGAAAAGCAUGGCUGGCCCACGCCGUCAGGGGAAAAGUCAAGGUCUUCUUCCCCGAUUCGCCUCCCACCCCCCGUGCCCUCGGCCACCACUAGCUAUAUCCCGGCGCCGCCCGCCGCCCUUCACCGCUAGAUAGCCAUUCCCCGUCGGAAAAAUAGCAGCGCUUCGCAGCGGCAGCCCCUCCAACAGCAGCUGGGCGUUUCCGACCGCCGUUCCCGACCGCGAAGGAGAAGUUUAACGGCGGGUACACACCUACCGGGUGCAAGGUGUUCGAUGAUUUGCCUGCCUCGGUGAUGGACUCGGAUGACGAGGAAGCGCUCACCGCGCUGCUGGAGGAGGAAGCCGAGGCAGACGUUGCUACCUCUUGAGCACUGCGUUGGAUUUCCCCGAAUAGGAGAGGAUGAUGCAGCAAAGUAGCGUAAGUAUUUUCCUCAGUUUCUGAGAACCAAGGUAUCAAUCUAGUAGGAGGCCACGCACAAGUCCCUCGUACCUACACAAAAACAAUAGCUCAGCGCAACCAACGCGCUUAGGGGUUGUCAAUCCUUUCACAGUCACUUACGAAAGUGAGAUCUGAUAGAGAUGAUAAAUAAUAUUUUUGGUAUUUUUGAUAUAGAGAUGCAAAGUAAAAAGUAAAAGCAAAGCAAUAAUAAAGUGAUGGAGAUUGAUAUAAUGAGAAAGAGACCCAGGGGCCAUAGAUUCCACUAGUGGCUUCUCUCAAGAGCAUAAAUAUUCUACGGUGGGUGAACAAAUUACUCUUGAGCAAUUGACAGAAUUGAGCAUAGUUAUGAGAAUAUCUAGGUAUGAUCAUGUAUAUAGGCAUCACGUCCGAGACAAGUAGACCGAAACGAUGCUGCAUCUACUACUAUUACUCCACUCAUCGACCGCUAUCCAGCAUGCAUCUAGAGUAUUAAGUUAAAAACAGAGUAACGCCUUAAGCAAGAUGACAUGAUGUAGAGGGAUAGUUUCAUGCAAUAUGAUAAAAACCCCAUCUUGUUAUCCUCGAUGGCAACGAUACAAUAUGUGCCUUGCUGCCCCUUCUGUCACUGGGAAAGGACACCGCAAGAUCGAACCCAAAGCUAAGCACUUCUCCCAUGGCAAGAACAACCAAUCUGGUAGGCCAAACCAAACUGAUAAUUCGAAGAGACUUGCAAAGAUAACCAAUCAUACAUAAAAGAAUUCAGAGAAGAUUCAAAUAUUAUUCAUAGAUAGACUUGAUCAGAAACCCACAAUUCAUCAGUCUCAACAAACACAAUGCAAAAUGAAGAUUACAUCGAAUAGAUCUCCACGAGAGAGGGGGAGAACAUUGUAUUGAGAUCCAAAAAGAGAGAAGUAGCCAUCUAGCCACUAGCUAUGGACCCGUAGGUCUGAAGUAAACUACUCACACUUCAUCGGAGAGGCUUGGAUGAUGAUGUAGAAGCCCUCUGUGAUCGAUGCCCCCUCCGGCGGAGCUCCGGAACAGGCCCCAAGAUGGGAUCUCGUGGAUACAGAAAGUUGCGGCGGUGGAAUUAGGUUUUUGGCUCCGUAUCUGAUCGUUUGGGGGUACGUGGAUAUAUAUAGGAGGAAGAAGUACGUCGGUGGAGCUUCGAGGGGCCCACGAGGCAGGGGGCGCGCCCUCCACCCUCGUGACCGCCUCGUGGCUUUCUUGACGGAGGGUCCAAGUCUCCUGGAUCUUAUCUGAUGAGAAAAUCACGUUUCCGAAGGUUUCAUUCCGUUUGGACUCCGUUUGAUAUUCCUUUUCUUCGAAACCCUAAAACAGGCAAAAAACAGCAAUUCUGGGCUGGGCCUCCGGUUAAUAGGUUAGUUCCAAAAAUAAUAUAAAAGUGGAUAAUAAAGCCCAAUAUAGUCCAAAACAGUAGAUAAAUAUAGCAUGGAGCAAUCAAAAAUUAUAGAUACGUUGAAGACGUAUCAAGCAUCCCCAAGCUUAAUUCCUGCUCGUCCUCGAGUAGGUAAAUCAUAAAAACAGAAUUUUUGAUGCGGAGUGCUACUUGGCAUAAUUUCAAUGUAAAUCUUCCUAAUUGUGGUAUGAAUAUUCAGAUUCAAAAGAUUCAAGACAAAAGUUCAUGUUGACAUAAAAAUAAUAAUACUUCAAGCAUACUAACAAAGCAAUUAUGUCUUCUCAAAAUAACAUGGCCAAAGAAAGCUAUCCCUACAAAAUCAUAUAGUCUGGCUAUGCUCUAUCUUCACCACACAAGGUAUUUAAAUCAUGCACAACCCCGAUGACAAGCCAAGCAAUUGUUUCAUACUUUUGACAUUUUCAAAACUUUUUCGAUCUUCACGCAAUACAUGAGCGUGAGCCAUAGAUAUAGCACUAUAUGUGGAAUAGAAUGGUGGUUGUGGAGAAGACAAAAAGGGAGAAGAUAGUCUCACAUCAACUAGGCGUAUCAACGGGCUAUGGAGAUGCCCAUCAAUAGAUAUCAAUGUGAGUGAGUAGGGAUUGCCAUGGAACGGAUGCACUAGAGCUAUAAGUACAUGAAAGCUCAACGAAAGAAACUAAAAUGGGUGUGCAUCCAACUCGCUUGCUCACGAAGACCUAGGGCAUUUUGAGGAAGCCCAUCAUUGGAAUAUACAAGACAAGUUCUAUAAUGAAAAAUCCCACUAGUAUAUGAAAGUGACAGAAUGAGAGACUCUCUAUAAUGAAGAUCAAGGUGCUACUUUGAAGCACAAGUGUGGUAAAAGGAUAGUAACAUUGUCCUUUCUCUCUUUUUCUCUCAUUUUUUUAUUUGGGCUUUCUCCUUUUUUUAUGGUCUCUUUUUUCGUCUAGAGUCUCAUCCCGACUUGUGGGGGCAUCAUAGUCUCCAUCAUCCUUUCCUCACUUGGGACAAUGCUCUAAAAAUAAUGAUCAUCACACUUUUUAUUUUUCUUACAACUCAACAAUUACAACUGGAUACUUAGAACAAGAUAUGACUCUAUAUGAAUGCCUCCGAGGGUGUACCGGGAUAUGCAAUGAAUCAAGAGUGACAUGUAUGAAAGAAUUAUGAACGGUGGCUUUGCCACAAAUACGAUGUCAACUACAUGAUCAUGCUAGCAAUAUGACAAUGAUGGACCGUGUCAUAAUGAACGGAACGGUGGAAAGUUGCAUGGCAAUAUAUCUCGAAAUGGCUAUGGAAAUGCCAUGAUAGAUAGGUAUGGUGGCUGUUUUGAGGAAGGUAUUUGGUGGGUGUAUGAUACCGGCGAAAAGUGCGCGGUAUUAGAGAGGCUAGGAAAGGUGGAAGGAAGGAAAGUGCGUAUAAUCCAUGGACUCAACAUUAGUCAUAAAGACCUCAUAUACUUAUUGCAAAAAUCUAGAAGUUAUCAAAGCAAAGUAUCACGCGCAUGCUCCUAGGGGGAUAGAUUGGUAGGAAAAUACCAUCGCUCGUCCCCGACCGCCACUCAUAAGGAAGACAAUCAAUAAAUAAAUCAUGCUCCGACUUCAUCACAUAACGGUUCACCAUACGUGCAUGCUACGGGAAUCACAAACUUUAACACAAGCAUUUCUCAAAUUCACAACUACUCAACUAGCAUGACUCUAAUAUCACCAUCCUCAUAUCUCAAAACAAUUAUCAAGCAUCAAUUUUUUCUUAGUAUUCAACGCACUCAAAAGAAAGUUUUACAAAUCUUGAAUACCAAGCAUAUUAUUAUUAAACAAAUUACCAUGCUAUUAAUACUCUCAAAAUAAUCUAAGUGAAGCAUGAGAGAUCAAUAGUUUCUAUAAAACAAAUCCACCACCGUGCUCUAAAAGAUAUAAGUGAAGCACUAGAGCAAAGUUAUAAAGCUCAAAAGAUAUAAGUGAAGCACAUAGAGUAUUCUAUCAAAUUCCAAAUUAUUUAUGGAUCUCUCAAAAGGUGUGUACAACAAGGAUGAUUUUUGUAAACUAAUAAGCAAAGACUCAAAUCAUAAAAGAUGCUCCAAGCAAAACACAUAUCAUGUGGUGAAUAAAAAUAUAGCUCCAAGUAAAGUUACCGAUAGAAGUAGACGAAAGAGGGGAUGCCUUCCGGGGCAUCCCCAAGCUUUGGCUUUUAGGUGUCCUUAGAUUAUCGUGUGGGUGCCAUGGGCAUCCACAAGCUUAGACUCUUUCCACUCCUUGUUCCAUAGUCCAUCCAAUCUUUACCCAAAACUUGAAAACUUCACAACACAAAACUUAAAGUAGAAACUCGUGAGCUCCGUUAGCGAAAGAAAACAAAAGACCACUUCAAGGUACUGUAAUGAACUCAUUAUUUAUUUAUAUGGGUGUUAUACCUACUGUAUUCCAACUUGUCUAUGGAUUAUAAACUAUUUUAGUAGCCAUAGAUUCAUCAAAAUAAGCAAACAACACACGAAAAACAGAAUCUGUCAAAAACAGAACUGUUUGUAGUAAUCUGUAGCUAGCGCAAGAUCUGGAACCCCAAAAAUUCUAAAAUAAAUUGAUGGACGUGAGGAAUUUAUAUAUUAAUAAUCUCCAAAAAUAAUUAACUAAAUAUCACUCUUAAAAUAAAAAUGACAGCAGUUCUCGUGAGCGCUAAAGUUUCUGUUUUUUACAGCAAGUUCAACAAGACUUUCCCCAAGUCUUCCCAACGGUUCUACUUGGCACAAACACUAAUUAAACACAAAAAACACAACCAAAGCAGAGGAUAAAUAAUUUAUUUAUUAAUAAACAGGAGCAAAAAGCAAGGAAUAAAAAUAAAAUUGGGUUGCAUCCCAAUAAGCGUUAUCGUUUAACGCCCCUAGCUAGGCAUAACAAGCAAGAAUAGAUCUAGGUAUUGCCAUCUUUGGUAGGCAAUCCAUAAGUGGCUCUCAUAAUAGAUUCAUAUGGUAAUUUUAUUUUCUUUCUAGGGAAGUGUUCCAUGCCCUUUUUUAAUGAAAAUUGGAAUCUAAUAUUCCCUUCCUUCAUAUCAAUAAUUGCACCAACCGUUCUAAGGAAAGGUCUACCGGGAAUAAUAAGGCAAGAAGGAUUGCAAUCUAUAUCAAGAACGGUAAAAUCUACGGGCACAUAAUUCCUAUUUGCAACAAUAAGAACAUCAUUAAUUCUUCCCAUAGGUUUCUUAAUAGUGGAAUCCGCAAGAUGCAAGUUUAGAGAGCAAUCAUCAAAAUCACGGAAAUCUAGCAAAUCGCACAAAGUUUUGGGAAUAGUAGAGACACUAGCACCCAAAUCACACAAAGCAUAAAACUCAUAAUUUUUAAUUUUAAUUUUAAUAGUAGGUUCCCACUCAUCAUAAAGUUUUCUAGGGAUAGAAACUUCCAAUUCAAGUUUUUCUUCAUAAGAUUGCAUCAAGGCAUCAGCGAUAUGUUUAGUAAACGCUUUAUUUUGACUAUAAGCAUGAGGAGAUUUUAGCACGGAUUGCAACAAGGAAAUACAAUCAAUCAAAGAGCAAUUUUCAUAGUUAAAUUCCUUGAAAUCCAUAAUAGUGGGUUUAGCAAUAUCUAGGGUUUUAAUUUCUUCAAUCCCACUUUUAUCGAAUUUAGCAUCAAGAUCAACAAAUUCCGAAUUCUUAGAACGCCUUCUAGGUAAAGGUGGAUCAUAUUCAGUCCCAUCAUUAUCAAGAUUCAUAUUGCAAAACAAAUAUUUAAUAGGGGACACAUCAAUAACUUUUAGAUCUUCAUCAUUAUUUUCAUAGGAACUAGAAGAACACGCUUUUACAAAAGCAUCUUUCUUAGCACGCAUCCUAGCGGUUCUUUCUUUGCACCCGUCAAUGGAAAUUCUCAUGGCUUUGAGAGACUUAUUGAUAUCAUGCUUAGGUGGAAUAGAUCUAAGUUUCAAAGAAUCAACAUCAAGAGCAAUUCUAUCACCGUUCCUAGCCAAAUCAUCAAUCUUAAGCAAUUUUUCUUCAAUCAUAGCAUUAAAAUUCUUUUGCAAAGAAAUAAAUUAUUUAAUAUUAGAUUCAAAAUCAGACUGCAUCUUAUUAUAAUUUCCAUAAGAAUUGUUGUAGGAAUUACCAUAAUUAUUAGAGGGAUUACUAGGAUAAGGCCUAGGAUUGAAAUUUUCUCCAUACGCGUUGUUACCAAAAUUGUUCCUACCAACAAAAUUCACAUCCAUAGAUUUAUUAUUAUUCUCAAUAAAAGUAGACAAGGGCAUAUCAUUAGGAUCAGAAGAAACACUCCUAUUGGCAAAUAAUUUCAUAAGUUCAUCCAUCUUUCCACUCAAAACAUUAAUUUCUUCUAUCGCAUGCACCUUUUUAUUAGAUCUUUCAGUAUGCCAUUGAGAAUAAUUAACCAUAAUAUUAUCUAGGAUUUUAGUAGCUUCUCCUAAAGUGAUUUCCAUAAAAGUGCCUCCCGCGGCCGAAUCUAAAAGAUUUCUAGAAGCAAAAUUCAAUCCGGCAUAAAAAAUUUGUAUAAUCAUCCACAAAUUCAAACCAUGAGUAGGGCAAUUACGUAUCAUUAAUUUCAUUCUCUCCCAAGCUUGUGCAACAUGUUCAUGAUCAAGUUGUUUAAAAUUCAUAAUAUCAUUUCUAAGAGAGAUGAUCUUAGCGGGAGGAAAAUACUUAGAGAUAAAAGCAUCUUUGCACUUGUUCCAUGAAUCAAUACUAUUUUUAGGCAAAGAUGAAAACCAAGCUUUAGCACGAUCUCUAAGCAAAAAAGGAAAUAACUUCAAUUUAACAAUAUCAUUAUCGACAUCUUUCUUCUUUUGCAUGUCACACAAAUCAACGAAGCUAUUAAGAUGGGUAGCGGCAUCUUCACUAGGAAGGCCGGAGAACAGAUCUUUCAUGACAAGAUUCAACAAAGCAGUAUUAAUUUCACAAGAUUCAGCAUCGGUAAGAGGAGCAAUCAGAGUGCUAAGGAAAUCAUUAUUGUUGGUAUUGGUGAAGUCACACAAUUUAGUAUUAUCUUGAGCCAUCGCGACAAACAAGCAAUCCAACACACGAGCAAACAAAAAGCAAACGGGCAAAAGAGGCAAAUAGAGAGGGAGGAUAGAGAGAGAGGGGGCAAAUAAAAUGGCAAGGGUGAAUUGGGGGGAAAGGAAAACGAGAGGCAAAUGGCAAAUAAUGUAAUGCGGGAGAUAGGGAUUGUGAUGGGUACUUGGUAUGUUGACUUUUGCGCAGACUCCCCGACAACGGCGCCAGAAAUUCUUCUUGCUACCUCUUGAGCACUGCGUUGGAUUUCCCCGAAGAGGAGAGGAUGAUGCAUCAAAGUAGUGUAAGUAUUUCCCUCAGUUUUUUAGAACCAAGGUACCAAUCCAGUAGGAGGCCACGCACAAGUCUCUCAUACCUACACAAAAACAAUAGCUCAACACAACCAACGCGCUUAGGGGUUGUCAAUCCCUUCACAGUCACUUACGAAAGUGAGAUCUGAUAGAGAUGAUAAAUAAUAUUUUUGGUAUUUUUGGUAUAGAGAUGCAAAGUAAAAAGUAAAAGCAAAGAAAUAAUAAAGUGAUGGAGAUUGAUAUAAUGAGAAAGAGACCCGGGGGCCAUAGGUUUCACUAGUGGCUUCUCUCAAGAGCAUAAAUAUUCUACGGUGGGUGAACAAAUUACUGUUGAGCAAUUGACAGAAUUGAGCAUAGUUAUGAGAAUAUCUAGGUAUGAUUAUGUAUAUAGGCAUCACGUCCGAGACAAGUAGACCGAAACGAUUCUGCAUCUACUACUAUUACUCCACUCAUCGACCGCUAUCCAGCACACAUCUAGAGUAUUAAGUUAAAAACAGAGUAACGCCUUAAGUAAGAUGACAUGAUGUAGAGGGAUAGUUUCAUGCAAUAUGAUAAAACCCCAUCUUGUUAUCCUCGAUGGCAACGAUACAAUACGUGCCUUGCUGCCCCUUCUGUCACUGGGAAAGGACACCGCAAGAUCGAACCCAAAGCUAAGCACUUCUCUCAUGCCAAGAACAACCAAUCUAGUAGGCCAAACCAAACUGAUAAUUCGAAGAGACUUGCAAAGAUAACCAAUCAUACAUAAAAGAAUUCAGAGAAGAUUCAAAUAUUAUUCAUAGAUAGACUUGAUCAUAAACACACAAUUCAUUGGUCUCAACAAACACACCGCAAAAAGAAGAUUACAUCGAAUAGAUCUCCACGAGAGAGGGGGAGAACAUUGUAUUGAGAUCCAAAAAGAGAGAAGAAGCCAUCUAGCCACUAGCUAUGGACCCGUUGGUCUGAAGUAAACUACUCACACUUCAUCGGAGAGGCUUGGAAGAUGAUGUAGAAGCCCUCCGUGAUCAAUGCCCCCUCCGGCGGAGCUCCGGAAUAGGCCCCAAGAUGGGAUCUCGUGGAUACAGAAAGUUGCGGUGGUGGAAUUAGGUUUUUGGCUCCAUAUCUGAUCGUUUGGGGGUACGUGGAUAUAUAUAGGAGGAAGAAGUACGUCGGUGGAGCUUCGAGGGGCCACGAGGCAGGGGGCGCGCCCUAGGGGGGAGCCCUCCACCCUCGUGACCGCCUCGUGGCUUUCUUGAUGGAGGGUCCAAGUCUCCUGGAUCUUAUCUGAUGAGAAAAUCACGUUUCCAGAGGUUUCAUUCCGUUUGGAAUCCGUUUGAUAUUCCUUUUUCUUCGAAACCCUAAAACAGGCAAAAAAUAGCAAUUCUGGAUUGGGCCUCCGGUUAAUAGGUUAGUUCCAAAAAUAAUAUAAAAGUGGAUAAUAAAGCUCAAUAUAGUCCAAAACAGUAGAUAAUAUAGCAUGGAGCAAUAAAAAAUUAUAGAUACGUUGGAGACGUAUUAGACGUCCAGGAAGAAGAGCAUCUGAUGGUGCUCGCCGCCCUCGCCCAGCUGCUGGCGAGCAAUGAAAAGCCGCGGCAAGGUGGCUCGGCGCCUGGGCUGGUGAAAGCAAAGAACCGGCAUCGUCUCGAAGGCUACUACAUGCUCUACUCCGACUACUUCGCCGAUGCUCCACUUCACGGCGAGAAAACAUUUCGGCGCCGUUAUCGGAUGAGCCGAAAGCUCUUCCUCAGGAUUGUGAAUUCCAUCCGGGAGUUCGAUAACUACUUCAAGUGCAAGAUGGAUUGCACCGGCGCUCUUGGAUUCACCUCCAUCCAGAAGUGCACGACAGCGAUGAGGAUGCUUGCAUAUGGAGCUCCCGGUGAUUCACUCGAUGACUAUGGGCGCAUGGCCGAGUCCACCAGCAUAGAGUGUUUCUACAAGUUCUGUCGGGCAGUGGUGGCAGUGUUUGGACCACAAUACUUGAGAACACCCAAUGCGGAAGACACUGCUCGGAUCCUAGCACAAAAUGCAGCAAGAGGACUUCCUGGGAUGCUUGGAAGCAUCGACUGCAUGCAUUGGAAAUGGAAGAAUUGCCCAUUUGCUUGGCAGCGGAUGUACAAAGGCGCCAAAGGUGGUUGCAGUGUCGUGCUUGAGGCGGUGGCUGCACAGGACCUUUGGAUUUGGCACUCCUUCUUUGGUAUGCCAGGAACUCACAAUGACAUCAACGUGCUACAGUGCUCUCCUGUCUUUGCCAAGCUUGUUGAAGGUCAUUCUCCUCCGGUGAACUUCGAGAUCAAUGGGCAGCACUACAACAAGGGGUACUAUCUAGCUGAUGGCAUCUAUCCGAGAUGGUUGACAUUUGUGAAGACCAUCUCAAAUCUUGUGCCAGGAGGCAAGAACGCCUGGUUUGCGAAGAUUCAGGAGGCGCGCAGGAAGGAUGUCGAGCGGGCAUUUGGUGUGCUCCAAUCUCGAUUUGCUGUUGUCCGGUACCCCGCUCAGACGUGGUCCAAAGAUCAAAUGUGGGAGAUUAUGACUUGCUGUGUCAUCUUGCUCAACAUGAUCAUCGAGAGCGAGCAAGAAGACCCAGUGUUUGACACUGAACCAUACUACUGUUGGGGAACAUAGUAAUUUCAAAAAAAUUCCUACGCACACGCAAGAUCAUGGUGAUGCAUAGGAACGAGAGGGUAGAGUGUUGUCUACGUACCCUCGUAGACCGGAAGCGGAAGCAUUAGCACAACACGGUUGAUGUAGUCAUACGUCUUCACGGCCCGACCGAUCAAGCACCGAAACUAUGGCACCUCCGAGUUCUAGCACACGUUCAGCUCGAUGACGAUCCUCGGACUCCGAUCCAGCAAAGUGUCGGGGAAGAGUUCCGUCAGCAUGAAGGCGUGGUGACGAUCUUGAUGUUCUAUCGUCGCAGGGCUUCGCCUAAGCACCGCUACAAUAUUAUCGAGGAUUAUGGUGGAGGAGGGCACCGCACACGGCUAAUAGAUCUCAAUGAUCAAUUGUUGUGUCUUUGGGGUGCCCCCUGGCCACGUAUAUAAAGGAGUGGAGGAGGGGGGAGAGGGCCGGCCCCUAUGGCGCGCCUUGGAGGAGUCCUACUCCCACCGGGAGUAGGAUUCCCCCCUUUCCAAGUAGUAGGAGUAGGAGUCAAGGCAAGGGAAGAGAGAAGAGAAGGAAGGAGGGGGCGCAACCCCUCCCCCUAGUCCAAUUCGGACUAGGCCUUGGGGGGCGCCCAACCUCUCCUCUCUCUUUCCCCUAAAGCCCAAUAAGGCCCAUAUACUCCCCGGCGAAUUCCCGUAACUCUCCGGUACUCCAAAAAAUAUCCGAAUCACUCGGAACCUUUCCGAUGUCUGAAUAUAGUCGUUCAAUAUAUCGAUCUUUACGUCUCGACCAUUUCGAGACUCCUCGUCAUGUCCCCGAUCUCAUCCGGGACUCCGAACUCCUUCGGUACAUCAAAACUCAUAAACUCAUAAUAUAACUGUCAUCGAAACCUUAAGCAUGCGGACCCUACGGGUUCGAGAACAAUGUAGACAUGACCGAGACACGUCUCCGGUCAAUAACCAAUAGCGGAACCUGGAUGCUUAUAUUGGCUCCCACAUAUUCUACGAAGAUCUUUAUCGGUCAGACCGCAUAACAACAUGCGUUGUUCCCUUUGUCAUCGGUAUGUUACUUGCCCGAGAUUCGAUCGUCGGUAUCUCAAUACCUAGUUCAAUCUCGUUACCGGCAAGUCUCUUUACUCGUUCCGUAAUACAUCAUCCUGCAACUAACUCAUUAGUUGCAAUGCUUGCAAGGCUUAAGUGAUGUGCAUUACCGAGAGGGCCCAGAGAUACCUCUCCGACAAUCGGAGUGACAAAUCCUAAUCUCGAAAUAUGCCAACCCAACAAGUACCUUCGGAGACACCUGUAGAGCACCUUUAUAAUCACCCAGUUACGUUGUGACGUUUGGUGGCACACAAAGUGUUCCUCCGGUAAAUGGGAGUUGCAUAAUCUCAUAGUCAUAGGAACAUGUAUAAGUCAUGAAGAAAGCAAUAGCAACAAACUAAACGAUCAAGUGCUAUGCUAACAGAAUGGGUCAAGUCAAUCACAUCAUUCUCCUAAUGAUGUGAUCCCGUUAAUCAAAUGACAACUCAUGUCUAUGGUUAGGAAACAUAACCAUCUUUGAUAAACGAGCUAGUCAAGUAGAGGCAUACUAGUGACACUCUGUUUGUCUAUGUAUUCACACAUGUAUUAUGUUUCCGGUUAAUACAAUUCUAGCAUGAAUAAUAAACAUUUAUCAUGAUAUAAGGAAAUAAAUAAUAACUUUAUUAUUGCCUCUAGGGCAUAUUUCCUUCAACUACAGGCAGGGUCCUCUAACCGAAGUUGAUCACCAGCUACCGGCAACUUGGACUGCCUAUCUCAGUAUGCGUCAGGAGAUCCGAGACCCACAGGUGCAUCAUCAACUGCAGAAAGAUCUGAUUGAGCACCUAUGGAGGCUCAAGGGGGACGCCGUGUGAUGAAAUACGAGUUUUUAUUUGUUGAACUAUAUAAUUUUUAUUGAACUAUUUGUUGUUGUACUAUUUUGUUGAAGUAUUUGAUUUUUCUAUGAUGAAAUAUGUGGCAAGAAAAAAUUGUGUUGAUAAUUGAACGCCGAGACACGGUGAACCACGCCGAAUAUGGGUCUAUUCUCGCCCAUAUGGGCCCUUCAUUCGUCGAAAUGGGGCUGCAAAGUGGGCCAAUUUCGGCGCCUGGGGGCGAGCUGGGGGCGAUGACUGGGCGCAAAACCGCCCCCAGCGCCGAUUGUAUCGCCGGCUCGCCCCCAGGGGGCGAUUUUUAUGCGUCCUGGGGGGGUCAACGGCUGGAGAUGCUCUAACGGUUGCGCAAGUCCAUGGAGGGCUCCACCCACGAAGGGUCCACGAAGAAGCAACCUUGUCUAUCCCUCCAUGACCAUCGCCCACGAAGGACUUGCCUCACUAGGGUAGAUCUUCACGAAGUAGGCGAUCUUCUUACCCGUACAAACUCCUUGGUUCAACUCCACAAUCUUGUCGGAGGCUCCCAAGUGACAGCUAACCAAUCUAGGAGACACCACUCUCCAAAAGGUAAUAGACAGUGUGUUGAUGAUGAACUCCUUGCUCUUGUGCUUCAAAUGAUAGUCUCCCCAACACUCAACUCUUUCUCACUGAUUUGGAUUUGGUGGAAAGAAGAUUUGAGUGGAAAGCAACUUGGAGAAGGCUAGAGAUCAAGAUUCAUAUGGUUGGAAUGGAAUAUCUUGGUCUCAACACAUGAGUAGGUGGUUCUCUCUCAGAAAAUGAAUGUUAGAAGUGUAGGCAUGUUCUGAUAGCUCUCUCCAUGAAUGAAGAGUGGGUGAAGGGGUAUAUAUAGCCUCCACAUAAAAUCUAACCAUUACACACAAAUCACCAAACUUGGUGGGACCGAAUAAUGAAACUCGGUCAGACCGAUUUAGUUCAAAAUGUGAACAUUAGGCUUUUCGUUGGGACCGACAUGUCAACUCGGUGUGACCGAUUUCAUUAGAGUUAGGGCAUAAUGUAAUCUCGAUGAGACCGAUUACACAAACUCGGUGGGACCAAUUUUGGUAAUAAGCUAACCAGAGAGUUGGUCAGGCAAACUCGGUGGGACUGAUUCGCUCAUCUCGGUGAGAUCGAAACGUUAAGAAGGGGAAACAGAGAGUUUGCAUUGCGAACUCGGUGGGACCGAUCGCUCAUCUCGGCGAAAUGUUAUGAAGGGAAACAUUGAGUUUGCAAUCCCAUCUCGGUGAGACCAAGAUCCCUAUCGGUAAGACCGAAGUGACUAGGGUUUGUGGCAGUGGCUAUGUCAAAUGAACUUGGUGCGUCGGAUAGAACAUUUCGGUGGGGACGAGUUUGACUUUUGGUUUGGGACAUAUGUGGAUAUGAGAAAGUGGUUGAGGGCUUUGGAGCAUAUCACUAAGCAUUUUGAGCAAGCAAGCCAUUAAGCAACACCUCAUCCCUUUUAAUAGUAUUGACUUUUCCUAUGGACUCAAUGUGAUCUUGGAUCACUAAAAUGAAAAUGUAGAGUCUUGAGCUUGAGCCAAUGUGUGUUCUUAGCAUUUUGAGGGGUCCACAUUCCUAAUCCAUGCCAUGCCAAUCAUUGAACUUUCUGAAAUGAUCAUCUUGAAAUAGCAUUAGUUCAAUGAGCUAUAUGUUGUUAGUAAUUACCAAAACCACCUAGGGAUAGUUGCACUUUCAAUCUCCCCUUUUUGGUAAUUGAUGACAACAUAUAGAUUAAAGCUUCGAUAAAUGAUAAUAAGAUUUAAAGUACAUCGUCGCUUUGAGAAGUAUGUGAUAAGCAAGAGCUCCCCCUAAAUUUGUGCAUUAUUUAAAAUUUGCUUUUGAAUGCAAAUGCACAAUCGGUUAGGAUUAUGGGUUACUCUUCCAUGUCACAUACAUCUUGGUGGAGCGCUCAAAAUGAUAGGAAUUAAAACAUGCACUCAUCACCAAGCAAAGUGAAUGAUCAUAUAGGGAUAUAAGAGAUAAUAUCAUCCAGGCAAGCAUUAAAAUAGCAUAUGAUCAAACAAGUAUCUCACACAAACAUAGAGUAUCAACCAAGCACACAAUAAAGUUCAACCAAAAUCAAGAGAGACAAAGAAGCAAAAACACACUCUCUCUCGAAGCCUAUGAUCUAUACAUUUCUCCCCCUUUGGCAACAAGUUACCAAAAAGUUCAAAAAUGCAUAGUGCUAUGCAUCUCUCAGGCUUGGUCUUCGAGAGGUGGUGUAGAGAGAACUCCAAGGACGAAGGCAUCUGUUGAUGUAGUUGGAGCUGGUGGAGUGGGUUGCACUUUCAAUACCUACACGGGUUAGUCCCACAAAGAACAAACAAGGAUAUCCAUAGACAUAGAGUGAUGAUCACAUAAGAUGAUGUCCAUGAAAGCAUUAGGUUACCUUGUCCCUUGUCUUACCAACAAGAGGGUUUGUGACUCCUAGAACUAGUGCAAGAUGUGGAAGUUGUUUGCACAUGUCCUUGCCAAAAGAUAUGAGUGAAGUAUGUUGGCGUAGUCACCCUCAAGAACUCUCUAGUUCUUCUUCUUCGGGAUCCACAUCAUCUUGAUGGGAAUCCUUGGAGUUGUAGUUGUACUUGAUGUGGUAGAACUUGAUGUAGUCUUGGGAACCCACUUGACCAAGGCCUCGGGAGCUUCUUCAAAUGCAUCAAUCUCCUCUUGAAGCUUGUCCUUCCCUUUUAGCUUGUGGUCUUGUGGUGGAAGAUCAUCUUGAGCUUGUGUCCCUUGGAAUGAAGUAGGAUCAUACUUCUCUUGUUGAGGAACAAACUUCGUCUUGGGGUAUUGAUCUUCUUCCCACUCAACUUCAUUGGCAUUGAACUUCCAUUCAAAACCAACACCUUGAUUCUUCUGGUGUCUUCCUUGCUUGCGUACAAUUUCCUCAAAUUGCUUACUUCCGACAAGGCUCUUGUAAACACCUUUCUCUAUAAUUCCAUUUAAUAAGCUAUUUCCUUGCUCAAGUGUAAAUUGGCUAAGAGAAUCAUUAGUGGAAUCAAGAGAACUACUAGAAGCAACAAUAUUGGAUUUAACAUGAUUUUUGUUACUACCAGAAGAAGAACCUUUCUUACUCUUAUUGCUAGAUUUAACUUGUGGCAUGUAAGUAUACAAGAGUAAACGCUUGGCAAUGUAAGAAGAACUUUUCUUGCGAAGAUCAUCAUUGAUUGCCUUUAAGAACUCAUGCUCUUGCUCAAGGUUGAGCUUUUCAAAGCGUAAUUUCUCACGAGUCUUUAAAAGUUCUCGAUGAUCUUCCAAGGUAGUUUCAUGAGCUAACUUAAGAGUGUUUAGUUCUUUAGUCAGACGCUCAAUCUCCUUCUUAUAAUCGUCAUUUGUUUUAUAUUGAUUAUCAUGAUUAAUAGUAAGUUCAUCAUAGUUUUCAUAACUAUAGUUGUCAACAAGUAAAUCAUCAUCUUCUAGCAAAUCAUCUUCAUCACUAUUGAAAUCAACAUACUCGGGGUGUGAUACCUUUGGGCCUUUAGCCAUGAAGCAUAUUCCAAUUCCUUCAUUUGGUGAGUCAAAUAUGUCGUAGGAGUUGGUUGACACAAGUGCUAGAUCGGCAACACCUUCAUCUUGAGUUUAUUCGGAGUCGGAGUGAUAACUUCUCUCGGAGUGAUUGUCGGAGUCGGAGCCGGAUACCCAUUCACCAACAUGAGCUUGAUGUCUUCAUUUUGUGUAGCUCCUUGAUGAUUUGUCCUUCCUUCCUGAAUCAUUGCUUCUCCGUGAUGUUCUUCGUUCAUAAAGGUCAUCUCUACUCCUUCUCUCUCUAGGUGGUGAUUCUUCUCUUCUACUUCUCCUUUUGGGUGAAUCUUCUCUUCUUUUGUAGGGAGCCAUACACUCAUUGGAGUAGUGUCUGGGUCUUCCACAAUUGUAGCAAUUUCGUUCAUGACUUGAAGAUCUUUUUUCAUUGUAGGACCUUGACUUGGAACUUCUCUCCUUGCUUAUACUCUUGUAGAACUUGUUGAAGUUCUUCACCAUUAGGCUCAAUUCUUCAUUGAAGGUUUGUUUCUCACUUGAUGAUGUGGGAGCAUCACAUGAGGCUUUGUAAGCACCACUUGACUUGUUGUGAAGCUCUUCCUUAUCCUCGAGUGACAUCUCAUGAGCAACAAUUCUUCCAAUGACUUCUGUUGGCUUGAGAUCUUCGUAAUUGGGCAUCAUUUGAAUCAAUGUACACACGGUAUUAUAUUUUCCAUCCAAGGCUCUUAGGAUAUUCUUGAUGAUGAAUCUGUCGGUCAUCUCUUCACUUCCUAAGCCGCCAAUCUCAUUUGUGAUGAGAGCAAGCCUAGAGUACAUUCCAGCGACACCUUCACCAUCCUUCAUUUUGAACCUGUCAAGUUGACUUUGAAGCACAUCCAAUUUGGAUUCCUUGACGGAGUUGGUACCUUCGUCAUAUCAAUCAAAGUAUCCCAAAUUUCCUUUGCAUUCUCAAGACAGCUGAUUUUGUUGAAUUCUUUGGGGCACAAUCCGUUGAAGAGGAUAUCACAAGCCUGAGCAUUGUAUUGCAGCAUCUUCAACUCUUCCGCGGUAGCUUCACGGUUUGGUUCUCUCCCAUCAAAUAAUUUACCUUGCAAGCCAAUACACACAAUAGCCCAAACGGAGGGGUUAUGUCCAAGAAUAUGCAUUUUCAUCUUAUGCUUCCAACUAGCAAAAUUAGUACCAUCAAAGUAAGGACCUCUACGGUGGUAAUUUCCCUCACUAGACGCCAUACUCUCCUAGGUUGUGAAACCAAGGUUGUGAUCACCAAACGCUAUGGAAAUCAAGGCAAAUGGAGACCAAAGCUCUAAUACCACAUGUAGGAUCGAAAGUAUGUCUAGAGGGGGGGGGGUGAUUAGACUACUUGACCAAAUAAAAAUCUAGCCUUUUCCCAAUUUUAAGUCUUGGCGGAUUUUAGCAACUUAGCACUAGUCAAGCAAUCAACCUACACAUGCAAGUCUAAGAGUAUAUCAGCAGAAUGUAAAACAUUGCACAUCAAGGUAAAGGGAGGAGUUUGGAGGGAGCAAACGCAAUGUAGACACGGAGAUUUUUGGCGUGGUUCCGAUAGGUGGUGCUAUCGUACAUCCACGUUGGUGGAGACUUCAACCCAUGAAGGGUAACGGUUGCGCGAGUCCACGGAGGGCUCCACCCAUGAAGGGUCCACGAAGAAGUGAUACGUCUCCGUCGUAUCUACUUUUCCAAACACUUUUUCCCUUGUUUUGGACUCUAACUUGCAUGAUUUGAAUGGAACUAACCCGGACUGACGCUGUUUUCAGCAGAAUUGCCAUGGUGUUAUUUUUGUGCAGAAAUAAAAGUUCUCGGAAUGACCUGAAAAUCAACGGAGAUUAUUUUUGGAAUAUAUAAAAAAUACCGGUGAAAGAAUUAACGUCAGGGGGCCCACACCCUUUCCAUGAGGGUGGGGGGCACGCCUACCCCCCUGGGCGUACCCCUUGCCUCGUGGGCCCCCUGAUGCUCCUCCGACCUCAACUCCAACUCUAUAUAUUCGUGUUCGGGGAGAAAAAAUAUCAGACAGAAGGAUUCAUCGCGUUUUACGAUACGGAGCCGCCGCCAAGCCCUAAACUCUCUCGGGAGGGCUGAUCUAGAGUCCGUUCGGGGCUCCGGAGAGGGGAAUCCGUCGCCAUUGUCAUCAUCAACCUUCCUCCAUCACCAAUUUCAUGAUGCUCACCGCCGUGCGUGAGUAAUUCAAUCGUAGGUUUGCUGGACAGUGAUGGGUUGGAUGAGAUUUAUCAUGUAAUCGAGUUAGUUUUGUUAGGGUUUGAUCCCUAGUAUCCACUAUGUUCUGAGAUUGAUGUUGCUAUGACUUUGCUAUGCUCAAUGCUUGUCACUAGGGCCCGAGUGCCAUGAUUUCAGAUCUGAAUCUAUUAUGUUUUCAUGAAUAUAUGUGUGUUCUUGAUCCUAUCUUGCAAGUCUAUAGUCACCUAUUAUGUGUUAUGAUCCGUUUACCCCGAAGUGACAAUAAUCGGGAUACUUACCGAUGAUGACCUAGUUUGAGGAGUUCAUGUAUUCAUUAUGUGUUAAUGCUUUGGUUCGGUACUCUAUUAAAAGAGGCCUUAAUAUCCCUUAGUUUCCAAUAGGACCCCGCUGCCACGGGAGGGUAGGACAACUUGCUAGGGUUAGAGAGAAUGAAAUUAUUGAAACUGAUAAUAUUGAUGAAAAUGAUGAUGAAGAUUCUCCCCCUAGAUAUGAAUUGUCUAUUGUGCCUGAGGGUUAUGUUAUGGAUGAAGAAAUUGCUAGAGACUUCUUAGCUUAAAAUGAUAGAUCUGAUCUUAAGAAAUUAUUAGCUAAGCUUAAAGAAAACUCUUUGAAUGCUAGAAUGAAAUAUGACCCUGCUUUUACUACUUCACCUAUCUUUAUUAUCAAUAAGGAUCAUGAUUUCUCUGUCGAUCUGAGUUAAUUACUUUGGUUGAAUCUGAUCCUAUUUAUGGCUAUGAAUCUAAAACUAUCGUGGCACAUCUUACUAAAUUAAAUGAUAUAGCCACCCUGUUUACUCAUGAUGAGAAAGCUCGCUAUUACUUUAUCCUUAAGUUGUUUCCGUUCUCAUUAAAGGGUGAUGCUAAAACAUGGUUUAAUUCUCUUAAUCUUGGUUGUGUGCGUAGUCCCCAGGAUAUGAUUUAUUACUUCUCUGCUAAAUAUUCCCCCGCUCAUAAGAAACAACCUGCUUUAAGGGAAAUAUAUAAAUUUGUGCAAAUUGAAGAAGAGAGUCUCCCACAAUCUUGGGGGAGGCUUCCCGAUUACUUAAUGAUUUGCCUGAUCAUCCUCUCAAGAAAACUGAAAUAGUUGAUAUCUUUUAUAAUGGACUAACCAAUGCUUUCAGAGACCACCUGGAUAGUUGUGCUGGUUGUGUUUUCAAGGAAAGAUCUGUUGAUCAAGCUGAAUUGCUAUUGAAUAAUAUGUUGAGUAAUGAAAAUUAUUGGACACUUCCUGAACCACCUCCUAAGCCAACUCCAAAGAAAAGAGGCAUUCUAUUUCUCAGUCUUGAAGAUAUGCAAGAGGCAAAGAAAUCUAUGAAAGAAAAAGGUAUUAAAGCUGAAGAUGUUAAGAAUUUACCACCUAUUUAAGAAAUACAUGGUUUUGAUAACCCGACACAGGUAGUAAACGUAAAUUCUAUCUAUAGAUUUGAUGAAGGUGAUAUUCCUCGUUAUAAGUCUGCUAGCCUAUGCUUAGAUGAGUUUGAUAAUUUUAUGGUUAAACAAGAAGACUUCAAUGCUUAUGUUGGUAGACAAUUAAAACGCAAUGCUGAUAUGAUUGAACACUUGAGUGAUUAUAUGGCUAGUGUUAAGGGUGAACUUAAUCUUAUUAGUAAACAUGCUUCUAUGGUUACCACUCAAGUAGAACAAGUACUUAAAGCUCAGAAUGAUUUUCUCAAUGAACUAAAUAGUAAGAAUGAUGUCGUGGUGGGCGCACGGCAGAUGCCAAGGGAUGGCUAAGGAGAGGAGGAGGCUCAAGGGCGCUGGUGGACUCCAGAGGCGGGGUUGGCAUGAGCGGGCGCGGGAUGCCGGACAUACCCAGGUUCGAGGCUCUUCGGAGAGAUAAUACCCCUAGUCCUGCCGAGUGUAGUUGGAUGAUCCAUAGUACAAUGUUGCUCCUGGAGCUGUAUGGAGGAGGAAGGAAGCUAGCCAAGGCUUGGGCUGCUCCUUCUCUCCGGUGUUGCUGUUUUGUGGCUAGCCCUAUGCUCACUUGCUUUUCUCUCGUAUGUGUUUUUUGUUUGCCCUCUCGCUCGCCCUCCGGAGAGAUGAUUCCUUUCUCAUGAUCGUGGGCUCCCGGGGGGUUUUAUAGUCCAACCCCUCGGGGGUACAAUGGUAGUGUUACAAGUUGGUGGGUCCGUAUUGUUAGUGUCCGGGGACCCGGGCUGGGUCCCGUUGAGGGCUUGUGGUUCGCCGGGUUCCCCUAGGUGCGGGCCCCGCAUGCCUAGGGGGACUGUGCGCCGUCUUGUCGAUCGUCAGGGUGUGGCCGAGUCGAGUCACGUACAGUGCUCUCCGUCAGGUUGCCGCUUGCUGUCGUUAGCGGUGAGGGCGGGGGCACUGUAGCCACGCCGGCCCUGGUCAGCGAGUAGGUGAGGGGCACUGUUGCCACGUACCCGCUGACCAGAGGCAUGGGCGGGGCACUGUUGCCUCGGUCAUUGUUGAUUGAAGUCUCGUCCCCAUCAUACGGCCUGGAUGGGACGUGAGUUGACCCACGGCUAGAUUGCGUAGCACACCACGGGUGGCGCUGGCUUGUUGAGGAGGCUUUGGUCGUACCGGGUUCGGCUGUCUUGCGCUAGUUGUUGGGACCGAGUCGACGUGUCUUGCCGGGUCGGCUAGUCUGGCCAGCUUGCGGGGCUUGGCCGGGUCGAGCGACCCAGCCAAGCACGUGCCGGUAUUGAGGGGCGAUGCCAACCCCAUUGUUUUUUGAAGAGGAUCCGGGUUCCGUUGCCUGCCCGGGGUCCAUCCCUCCGACAGUAGUCCCCGAAGCUGUGAAGGUCCGUCGUCUUCAGAUGAGUGGGCCUUCACAGUUUCCCCCUUAAGAAAGGUGGAUUCUACGAGCGUCGGGUCCGGCAACACCCACUGUGUGCCGGUUUUCUCUGAAACCGGAUCGUGGCAUCUCGGCCGUGGCGGGAACCGAGAAGUCCGUCGAAUCUUGGGGCAAUCCCUCAGGCUUUGCGCGUAGCAAAGACAGAGCCAACUAGGAGGUGUUGAAUGGUUUCGUCAUGUUGGUUGCAAAGAGGGCAGGAGUACGUCCUGGUGAGGUAGUCCACGGCGGGCCAACUGGUCCGAUGUCCAGCAUCUGUUCUUGAGGGCAAGCCAGGCGAAAAAACAACACUGCAAGGGCGCCUUCGACUUCUAGGUGAACGUCGCUGAUAGGGAGACCACACGCCCCAUGAAACCUACGGCAUAGGCAGAUCUAGCCGAAAAUUGCCCGUCCUUCUCCCAUGACCAUGUCACCACAUCCUCAACGUCAUUCGUAAGCUGUCUUCCCGAGAUUAGGGGCCAUCAAGGCCUGAAUCUAUCAAUUGAAAUAAAGUACCUUGUUCGCAUUUUAUUGCGGCUCAUCCUCGCGGUUAGCCUACCGGCUACCGGCAAAUAGCCUGCAGAUCGGCGCUCGCCCACAGCCGUCCCUUCUCCGCUUCUCUUGAUGGUUGUGCGACAAAAAGUUGCGUAGAGAUCGCAUAGGCGAUAGCAGGCAGUGACUGGCGGCAGAUGUGAAUCUCAAUCGCAGCAGGCGACUGUGUAACGAAGCCAUAGCACGAACUGUGUGUGCGUGACCACGUGGCUGCGUGCAACUACCCGCUAAUUGGCCCCUUUGUCACCUAUGAUGGGCUGCGUAAGCGAUGAACAGUUGGGUAGCAGGAAAAAUAGCAAAAAAUUGAUUGCUAUUAACGAGGCGACGCGAUCGGUAGGGGGGUCUCGCCCCCCCCCCCCUCGUCCCUCCUUGAAUCCGUCCCUGCCCGUACCUUCAUUGGUCGUUGGGCAUGUCGUCAUCCACGGCUCCGUCCAUUGUGAAGGUGGAGCCGAUCAGAAGAGGAGUUCACGUAGUAGAUGGAGGAGGUGAUGCGCCGGUCGAUGACCGACCAUGGUCAGGCGCCGUCGUCGCCUCCGCUGAACCACGACAUCUAGAUCGGACGUCGCGUCAAGGAGGUGCCACCAUCCCCUCCGCACAAUCACGACAUCAAGAUCGGGCGUUGCGUCAGUCGUCCCCUAUGCAUAACCGCGGCUCACAUUGGACGUUGCGCCAAGGAGAAUCCAUCAUCUCCUCCGUGCAACUGUGGAGUCCAGAUCAAAUGCCGCAUCAAAGAGGAGUCGUCGUCCCCUCCGCACCGCCAGCCAGGCACACGACGCCCUAUCCUCCCAACUGUCAAGAAGGUGGAGCCGUCCUUCCUACUAUCGAAGCCGUCACCAUGGCUCCACUACUACCUCAAAAGGGGUCGGCGUCCAAGUGGCAAGGCGCCUGGUGGCAUUCGCAAGCCCCAUGUGGCGCCAACUUGGGUGCUCGUAGAGCUCACGCUUGCGAAGGAUUGGGCCCUUGAUCAGUCCAGUACCAGUGUACCACACCCUCGAGUCGGACACUCGCCGCUGUCAUCAGCGUCGGAUCAACACCCAACUCCUUCAAGUGGGGCUGGAGGAGUCUAAGCGAGCCAUCUGUCUCCAAACCGAGAACAAGCGGCGCAAGGCGACGACCAAAGAGGGAUGUCGCGAUGCCUGGAGGGCCUUCCACCACCGACGCCAUGACAACGACGACGACAACAACGGCGCAUGUGGCGGUGUCGACGAGGGCUUGGAUGACGGCGGGGGUGCUGGUGGCCUCGUAGGGAGUCGAGCCGGAUAUCCGCAGACAAGUUUUGAACGGUUUGCGGACAUUUGGUGAUGUCUAUGUGGUGAUCCGCGUUGGAGAUGCACGACAUGGCCGGAUAAUUUUGUCAAGUGCGCACGCAUGCGUUUUGCUAUAGUUGUAUCCUACCUAAAUUUCCAUUUUUGUACUUAUAGGUUAGCAACACUGGCGCAUGCCUGAACGUUAGAUGGUGGACAGCAAGACCCACCCAUGUUGCCGUGUAUUCAAGUGUUCCCCGUUGCUUUCAAAAUGCUACGCGGUCCAUGGUACGUACGCGGAGGCAGACAUUACAUUAAGCACCAAAAAUAGAAGAUCGCCGCAUUCAAUCAUCCGAUCUAGCGUAGCGUAGCUGGGUCGGGGCGGUGUUGACAUGUGUGCAGCUGGGUUGGGCAGGGACACGGCGUCACUGCCCCCCCAUCAGGGCAUUAUGGUGUCCAUCCCUGAUGCUGAUGGCGAUGCAUCACUGCUACUCGUGCACACGGCACGGCGUGUUUUCUUGGACCAGAUCUCCCAAGCGUAUGAUGGAUGCGUCGCCCAACGCUCGAUGAGAAGCACUGGAUCAAAGCACAAGGCAAACCUUUUUUGUUUCUCUGGCUCGUUGGCGGGGCGGUAGAGUAUAUUUCACAAAAAUACUACGUAUCACAAUUCAGGCAACCCUCCCUCGAACUAUCACUUAUCACUUACCGGGCAUCUCCAACGGCGACCAGCAAAUUUCUUCUGGCAUCCAUCCGCGGACAGGGAAGAGUUAGUCCACGGACAUGGAUGCGAGAUGCUGCCAUCCAACUGUGCCCGUAUACGGUUUAAACAAUUUUUCAGCAAACCAGAUAAAAUUCAUGCAAACAUGACACGAUUUCAUAUAAAAAUGUCAGAUUUUAUACAAACACGGCGCACUUUCAUUAGAUUUUGAACAUUUAGAAGAAAAACGACCCGAUCCUAAACCUAUCCUGCGGCGGUGGCGCCCGGCGUCCAAGCCCUUCCCGUCCUCCAUCCAUCGUCUUUAUGACCACUAGCGAUAAGACCGAUGAAGUGAAGCUGCAAUCUAAGGCGAGGAAGAGAAGAACGAGACGGACCGGCUCACAUGAGACACAAGGCCCUGCCGUCUUCCAUGCCCUACUCAUCCUCGGAGGAGUCCGUGCCUUGAACGUCGCCGGUGGACAUGAGGUCCACGAUGGAAAUGGUGGCGCCUGCGCUGUCGUCGUCCCACCGGGCCGCCGGACGGUUCGCCAGCGACGCGUCGGAGGCGCAACUGGUGUUGUUCUCCUCCGCGACCUCCUGGAGCUGCGCCUCCGCGGUGGUCGCUUCCUGGUGAGUAACGGCUUGAGCGCGGACGACAUCAUAGAUGGCAAGCUGCUUCGCAUCGAAGUUGGGGUUCGUCGCGGCCAUGGCCGCCACGGCCUCCUCGCCCGUGCGCUCGCCGUAGAUCUGGCCCUCCACCAGCCGGUGAUGCUCCAGGAGAAACAUGCUACACCGAUGUUCCUCCGGCGCCUGCUGGAACGCCGACAUAGGCGCCGGUGCAGGCUGCACCUCCGUCGUGGUGGCGUUAUAGUGUGCCUGCUCCAUGGUGAAGUCGGCGCGGGAGCCAAGGCGCUGUCGUCGGAACCCGUCUCCAUCGUGGUGUCGUCUUCGUCGUCGAAGACCUCGGGCGAGCUGGCCGGCAAGCCGGCCUUGAUUUGCCUGGCACAACGGCUCUGGUAGGCGGCGACAAGGGUGACCACCACAUGCUUCAUCUUUACGGAAAGGCUCGCCCAUAGAGCUUCGUCGCCUGUAGUCAUGGCGGAUGCAGUGCAAGAGACGAGGAUUGGGAGAGGGCUUGUGUUGUGGCAUGGAGUAGCCGGGUGUGGCCGCCUUUAAAUAGCGGAUUCCGGUGAGGCCAGACUUACGGGUGCUCAAUGUGCGGUCGAAGUGUGUUUCUCGGCCGGCGAACCUGCUUAAUGACGGCAUACGGACGGACAGGGCAUUGAACGUGCGUGAUAGAUAUACGUCUCAUCCUGCCCAGUAAUGUGUCUCUGGCUGAACAGGCGCGGGCACCGGAGACGCGUCACGGGCAGCGCCCUCGGCCGGCGUGCUGCUUCAAUUGGCGGAUGCAAUGAGAGGUCGCUUCCGUCCUGAGCCGUCUUUAAUGUGGAGCGGUGCGCUCUACAACGACAUGAAUGCGGUCGAGGAAGGAAAGGAUUUGGUGGGUCAGGAUGGUUAGAAGCAGGCGCAGGAGCAAUCCGGACUCCCGCAAAACCCCCCACAUUUGUCUCCGGUAUGUGAGAGAAAACGCGUCCAAGCUAUCAUGCAAAUCGAUACAGAUCUAUGUUAAAUGGUUUCCGCUAUUCGAACGGACGUGAACGAUUUGUGGAUCGGCUUUAGAGAUGCCUUACAAUUUUUGUCGGAGCAAGAACUCAGUGACAUAGGACCAGCCGUCCACGAACAAUCUCCCGUCACAGUGGUGUAGUCCGCGCGCGUCAUCACGCGCUGCCUGGAAACCAUCUGUUUUUUUUUAUACAUCCAUUUCUUUAAUAAGUAUUUUCAGACGGAAGGAGUAAUAAAGAGAACUUCCUUUCUAAUUUUCAUUUAACUGAAACCAUCUGUCCUUUUACAGUUUGAGAAAUCAAGAAAUAGUGUUGCGUCUGAUAAUGACAGACCUUGUGUUGUUGUUAACAUGAUUGCUACUCCCUCCGUUCCAUAUUAUCCGUCGCUGAUUUAGUACAAAGUUGUACUAAAGCGACAAGUAAUAUGAAAUGAAGGGAGUAGAUAAUGAUUUAACGAUUGGGUGAUUUUGCAGAAAAAACAGGAAAAUCAAGAGUGUUCGAAACGGAUAGUAAGUGAAGUCUUCAAAACGGUAUAUGGUUCUGAAGUGCUGCUGCUUCUUCCCUAUAGUACGUCUGUUACAGUACCUCUGCUAUAGACUUCAUGUGCUGGCGUUUUAGGGAAUGUUUUGUUGGCAAUGUACUACUCCCUCCGUCCCAUAAUGUAAGACUUUUUUUGACUUAAAAAAAAAAACGUCUUACAUUAUGGAAUGAAGGAAGUAAUGUAUAGUUUUUGGUACUUGCUCAUGGUUGCAGAGGCAGUGUCUGACUUGUUGCCUGU
rnacentral:lncRNA from 1 species